rnacentral:lncRNA from 1 species
CCUCAUUCUUCAAUGACUUGCCAUCUUUUUCAGCCAUCAAUCAUCCCUUGGAUGAAUUUUCCUCAUAUUGCGGCCAGGUAAGGAAGAAUGUAGAAUUUCAGCUUGGCCGAUGCAAGACGCUAUUUUUGGUCCCCGAAAGGCACUAAUUUUCUCACCUAUUUGAUCCUUUUAUGAAAAGGCUGCGUAAGCGCUAUCCAAAUGCUGUAACAGAUACCUUUUCUUAGUGAAAAUAGCAGAAAAGAUUCCUUCAAGAAAAAAAAAAAGAAGGCACAAAAGAUGGGGAAAGAAACAACUCGUUCCAGCGUAGCUUGUCCUUGGCAUAAUCCUGAUCUUUUCUUUUUAUCUCUCAACUACUAGAAUCAAUAUAUUUGAACCCUAAACUUAGUAGCGAAGGAAACUCUAAAAAUUCUGUUCUGACCACUGAAUCACUGAACCAGCUCCAGUGAUACUAAUUAUCCUAUCUCAACUGCUAAGAAGAUUUAUGAAAGAAUCAAAAUUUGACUCCCAAAUUGUACAUAAGGCCUGAGAUUUGGGUGGUCAAGACUUACACUGUGAGAGACCAUAUCAUCUACAGUAAAAUUUUGGUGGAGGAAAGACCAAGUUUGAAUUUAUUACGGGGUAGAACUAAAAAUUAAACAGAUUUUAAGGCAUUCAACUCUGAUUUUCAAGCUCUUGGGGGGCUUGCCAUCGAGCCAUGGCAAAGUUGGAAACAAGAUCAGAAAUAAAAACCAGUAAGAUAACACGCUGAAGAGCUACGUGUAACAUGAGUUUUGCUGUGCAUGUGGAUGAGUCUCAGUCGCAAAUCUGAGUAUCCUAACACGUGUACAUCUCUAAUCACAUAUAUAUGACAAGAUUUUAGACACGUUAACGCUUUACAGGUAGAGGCAAAUUGAGAGAAAGAGAGGCAAAAAUGGAGUCAACUAAGGAGAGAAGAGAGCAGGUGGAGAAGGAGCAAAGGGAACAAAAGGGAGGUGUUGAUCCAAUAGCCAAGGCUAGGGAGGUACUUCAAGAAGCUGUCAUCAGCAAAGAUGAUGGAAAGGCUCAGGGCGAUAAUAAUGACGAGAAGGAAGCAGCAAAAGACCCUGAUGACAUUUUGGUUUUUGCUAGAGCUGUUCACCACACUGAUUCCUCGCUUGAUUGAUAUAUAGCUAUCACAAGUAUCUAUGAAGUGUAAAUGAGACGAAGAGGGUUUUAGAGGUGACUGGCCAGUCUAAGUUACUGUACAAUUUUCAGUUUGUUUCAAUAUGUGAGUUGGAAAUCACAAGUUUAAAUUGUUCUUCUCAUUCUUGAUUCUUAAUUCUUUACGGAAAGGAGAGUAGCAAAAGCAUGACAGGAUUGAUUAUGCACAACAUAAUUUUGGGUCGGAAGGAUACUGCAGAUGUUAAAUAUUCACUCCAGAUUUGCGAGUUGCAACCAUAUAUCACCUCAGAGAUCUAAGCCAAGAAAAGAUUGUUCCAUAUGAAAAAUCGAAAAAGAGUCUUAAUUUCUCCAAAUUUCUCCUAAAUUUACCAUAAAAUUCACUAUAAUUCUAUGCUAACAUGAAAAGUUUUUGUUAUUUGUGAAAAUGGUUGUUCUCAGGUCCACUAUUGGAGAAUUAGAAUUGAGAGAAAGGUGGAAGGGUGUUUCUUUCAUCGAAUUUGUAACUUGCCUGGUACAUCUUCUUAGUUAUCGGAGAGAUCAUUAGAGUAUAUCACUUAGGUCCUUUGCAAGUAGGAUGAAGUAACUAAAUCCAUUUUUGUCAAGCUUUGUGCUCAUGGCAUGUAUCUUAAUAUGAGAAAAAGAUAAAGAGAAUUUAUAAUGAAAUGACAAAAAGGACAAUAGUGCAUGUUUCCAACCAUGAAUUUUUAAUUCAGAUGCUUUCUAUCGGUCACAUUGAAGACUUGAGCUAUGCAUACAGCCAUACGGGUCCAGACAUUGGAUGUCUUUUACUACUCUCAUCUCCAUACCAAUUUACAUUUUUAUAUACGAAAUGGGAUUGCUAAGUUAGUGAAGUUACGGCUACCAUCCUGGUCACUACGCUCAGCAAUUUCCUUUAAACUAGUCCAAGAUUUUCUCUUCCGCUUGCUUGAUGGUAUGGAAGCUUUCUUUGCAUCAACAGGAACAGAACUGCUUUCUGAUUCAACAAUUUUCUUGGAUCCUGAUCUAGUCCUUUUCCUCUUUCUUGUAUCCAACAAAGUCCCAACUUUAGCCGAGGGAGUUGUAGAACUGUCAUUCACAGGAUCCUUGUUAAUUAUUUCUUGUGAAGCAAUUCCAUCCACCUUGGACAUGGGAUCAUUUUUGCUUGCUGUAAUGACCUUUGCUUUGGCAAACUUUGGAUGACUUGAUUUAGUAGGAUCUGAUUUUGAAGAGACUUUGGGCUUCGAUGGACACAACUCUUUCAUGUAGCCUUUCGGGGUUCCUCUCUUCAAGUUUCUAUGUGAACAAAAGUGGCAGCUGUAAACCACACUAUUUUCAAUCGAAAGACUACGUUUCUUGCGCCUUCGCUUUGGAUUUGGUUUUAUCUUCUCAAUCCGAACCGUACAAUUAUAGCCAGGUUGAAGAAUAGAUUCACACCUGUAGAAAAAUUACAAUGGUAAUCAAAACAUUAGACACGCAGAUGAAUGUUUGUAUUAUAAUCCACCACCAUGGUGGUAACAACAUUAAGCUUGUACUGCAGUAUCUCCUUUGCUUCUAUACAAUCAAGAAAAAUGGUGUUGCAAGAAUCGAUCUUUAGUAGCAAAGAGCCAGAAGGAACCAUCCAGGCAGUGAAAACAUCUAGAAAUAUGGGUGAGCAUCGUUGCAUCAGCCAUCUGCAUAAAGGGUUAUAUUAGGACUUCAUUCUACAUCUAUGCUUCCUUACUUCACUUUCUUGCUCUAGAUGAGGGCAACUAGAUAAUAACUUGGGCCAAUGAGUGUUGUACUCAGACCUAUAUGUCAGUUUUAGGAAUGAUAUUACUUCCAAAACAAUUCGUUGCAGUAGAAAUACCAGUUAAUCUUCGAGUCAUGAAAUUCACUAGCUACUCCUAGAUAGAAGCACAAACAAAAUAUGUUUAUCCGAAACAUCAAGCAUGUUUGAGGAGAUUGGUUUCACGGAAGUAUUUUCCCAAAAUACGGUAAGACGGCCUUCUAUAAGCUACUAGAGCAAAUUCUACAAGAACGUUGUGUGUAAAAACUUGAUUGUCCAAGACAAUUUACUCCAUUACAGAGAAGAGGUCAUAAUCUGAUAGACAUACACGUAAUUUAACUGUACCGCAUCACAAACCAAAGCCUUUAAGCCUCUAAAAUUCCUAGGAACUAAUCAUGGAAGCACUAAAUCAAACUCAAAAACGUUACUACUGAAAUAGAACACAACAACUCUAAUACAACCAAAUAGGACUUGUAUCGAACAUGUAGAAUACACCACAAGUAGAAAGCACAAAACAAUAGGAAAAAAGGGAAGAAUUUAGGGGACCUCUGGCAGGAGAACAAUGAAGGGUCAGGAGGAACACCCAAGGCUUCAGCAGUGGCAGCCAAGCGGUAGCCGAAAAAAGCACCUAGUGAAGAUACGGAAGCUUCGGCAGUAGCCCAGAUAGCGAGGUUUUUAAGGUGGUCCAAUUUCAACAUGGACUUGGGAUUUACGCUGCUCUGUUUCUUUCCGCUAGAUUCUUCUCUCAUUGUUCCUGAAGGAGCCUGCUGCAAGUGUGGCUGUGAAGAUAUUGCCGCUGCUGCUGCUGUGGAUGAAUUAUUCUUCUUACCCAUCGCUACUCAAAUUUGGAAACUCAAUAAAAGUAUCAAAAUAUGUUUUAAACACUUGAUGAGGAAUCGCAGCCACAAUAUCAAGAGCAGUAACAGUAAGAUUCAAACUAGUAAAUAGUCUGAUAAUACCUGAAACAAAAAAGAAAAAGAAUCAGAUAAUUACCCAAAUCAACUUAGCUAGUUGGUGGGGUUUUGAUUGUUUGGACCAACGAAAUAGAAUAGAAAGCAGUGCCAGAGAGUGGCAGCAGCAGGGAAGAAGAGGGAGGAAUGAUUGAGGGACGGAAUAAAAGGAGAGACUCAAGUCGAGGCCGCAUGAGUCUUAUGACUUACAGUCUGGGCUGGGUCAAGAUGGGUUCGAGACAGUUUAGCCCAGGUCAUGGUAUUCAGUCCAAAUAACUACUACUAGUCUACUACUUGUUUUCUUUGUGAACAGAUUUCGACACAAAAUAGUGCGGGAUAAUUUCAUAAACCCCCCUGAGGUUUUUUAUAAUUACAACCACCACCUUUAAAGUUUGAAAAAUUACACUCAUCCGUGCGUCCGAUCAGAUAUUGGCUUCAGCCUCCCUGAGGUGACUGCAAUUGUUUAAAAAACUCAAGGAGGUUCCUGAAAUUAUACCGUGCAACAAUGAACAUAUUGGCUUCAGCCUCCUCGCUCCCAAACUUUAACUAACACAAGAUAAAAUUUUUAUACUCCAACAAAAACUUUUCAUGUUAGCAUAGAAUUAUAGUGAAUUUUAUGGUGAGAGUAUUUAGUAAUUGGAAAAAUGUAGUUUGGUCCAUUCUAAUUUGGUCCAUACAAUAGGAACUACUUCCAUAUAAUAUGCCAUCCAUGUAAUUCUCUCUAGCUUACUCCCUAUUAACAUGAGGUGGUUUAGGUAUAACAACUGGAGUUUUAUAGACUUCAAGAGCUGCAUAUCCUGCUGCUAGGACUGAAGUGGCAGCACCAAUUACAAUAGCAUCCUCAUCAUCAUCACUACCUGGAUCCAUAUAUGAAAAUUUAAUAUAAUUAUUAAUUGAUUGCAUGCAUAUAAUCGUUAAUUAGGAUUUAAAGAUGUACUUACCAAUGGAAUACCUUAGCGAAUGUGUAAGAAGGAGUACGAUUACUUGAACAGAAAUUCACAACAGAAAUCCAACUGCCGCCCAAAACCAUGAUGCCAAUAAGAUUACUUGUUUGGGUAAUAAACAUUUAAUUCACGUAGCAGUAGACUAUUAGUAGUGUACCAGAAAAAGCCAGAGUGAUGCAGGGGUCUCAAAUGCAGAGUGAUGCAGGUUAUACCAAUAGCAGUUAAUGUUCUCCUUCAAUGUGGGCGGGCCCAAGAAGUAUAAGAGUAUAUAAAGGACAUAGGAAAAGAAAGUUUGCUUGUGUUCAUAGUUCAGCUGUUUCAGCACCCGAGACAGAGGAAAAGAAACAAUAUGAUUGUGUAGUCUCCUAAAACUUCUGUUAGCUACUUCAUUACUUUUUCCCAGAAAACCCCUUCCAAUGAAUCACGUUAAAAAGUGGACAGGAUUGGUAAAACAAUCUUGCUGCUGAAAUCUGACAUUAAAAUAGGAGAGUGCAACUGUCUGUACAAAUGUUGCACGAAAUCUGCAUGAACAUGCAAAUACUAUGUCCCGAAGUGAUCUGUGGCUUUUCUUUCUGAUUAAACAUCUAUACAGGUCCACUUCAGUUUACAGGAAAGACAGCAAACGAAAUCAAUUAUGUGCUUAUGUUGGAGCUUGGGGCACAGGCUUAGCCCUAUUGGCUUGAGCUGGUUCUACUUGUGAUGACACAUUUCAAUAGAACUGAACUCAUUCUUCAAAUAUAGAAUUUUAAGUAGGACGAAUAUAGUCAGACAUUAUAGGAUCUGUUAUGAUUCACGAAAAACAAGAAUAUCAUGAUAGCUUGUUAACUGCAACGCUGGGAGAUUCUUUGCUCUCUGGGAUGAACACAAGCAAACUGUUUUCCUCCCUAAUCAGAUUUUGUCAACUAUUUACAAAUGGUCUCACCAGACUGUAAGAAAAACACUACCCUACCCUACCGGGAUUCUGAUUCCAAGAAUCAUAAAACCCCCAAAACUCAGCAGCCAAAUUAAUUCAUUAGCAUCAAUCAAAUCAGAUUUAACCCUAAUCAGGUAAGAACAAACUAAAACAAAAGCAACCCACAAAAAUUCAUUCAAAUCCAACUUCAAGAAUCUACACCAGUAAUUCUAGACAAUUUUUCAAAGGAAAAGGGAGGAAAAAAAAACUAAUAAGAGACCAUCAUACCUCUGGAAAUACUUAAGGAGUCUUCACCCUUGUUGGAAAUGCUACUGUAGGAACGGGAAUGAGAUUGUGCUUAGGCCGUCAAACAAGCUUCUGAGGCUGCAUAAGCAAACGCAUCCACAAUGGCGGGCACAGCUCACAAACAAAAAGCAGACUGAAGAGACAGAGAGGGAGAUGGUUACCGGCCGCAAUGGCUAAGUCUAGUUCCGCUGACUAGAGAAAUGGACCACACAAACGCAUCCACACAUGACUUGAGCCGUUGAUAUUGGCCGCUUUCAAAGGAAAAAAAUGAGAGAGAGAGAGAGAGAGAUGCCGGAGUAGCUCACCUGAUGAGAUGCCGAAGAGAGAGAUGCCGGGAAUGAAAGUUAUUUUCCUGAUGAGAUGUCGCUGAUGAGAUCGAAAACCCUUGCUGGAGGCGUGAAAAGAAGAGGAAAGUAACGUCACAAAUAUAAUUUAUGAGGCGAGUUUGAGUUCACUAAGGCUGGAUUCAAAAAGUCAAUUGAUAUCAAUGUCAAUUUUAGAUAUGAUGGAUUGUUAAAGAAUUCCCCAAUCCUGCCACUACAACUAUGGAGAAUUUUUUUUUUUUUUUUUAAGAAAAAGAAAAUUAUAUAGGGCAAUUACCGGAUAACCAUCUUGUUCCAGGGCUUCUAUAAAAUCCCAACCCAACACUUGGCGCCUUAAAAUUUUCGGACCCGGAAGAAACCGCCUAGCUAGCUUACUAGCUCAUGACAUUUGCCCUCUCUGGUGCGAACACUCUCUCUCACACUGGGACACACAUUAAUCACACACAGUAAUCGCAAUGGGUAAUCGGAGGUUCACUCAGAUGCCGCCGAGCGAUGACGAGGACGACGGGCCACCGCCACCACCUCCGCCGCCGCGGCGGAGCUCAGCGAACGGUGACGACGAGAAAACGAACCAAAGGAAGCGGAAGAAAAUGAAGCUCGUCGACGAAGCAGAAGAUGAAGAAAAGCAAGUGAAGGAAGACAGUGUCAGAGAUAGGAAGAAGCAAAAGAAAGUGAUCAAAGAAGAAGAAGCAACUGCGGCUGAGCCUAGCGGUGAUGAGGAGGAGGCUCCUCAGGAGGACGCCAAGCCUAUUGGCGAUGUAAUUAGGGCUUCGGGAAAAGGAAGAGGGAGGAGGAAUCACUAUGAGGCCUUCGAAUAUGAUGGAAUGCGAUAUGAUUUGGUAAAUAUUAAUUCGAAAUUCUCGUUAAUUGGAUUCAUUUCUUGGGUAAUACAUAUGCUCAUAAGUAAGCAUUUCAAACAAAUAUCAUUGCUGAAUUGUAUGCAACUUUGUUGAAUACUUUUAGAAAUUAGUUGUAAUUGUAAGCUUCGACCCAUUAAUUAGAAGUUGAGGCUAAAAAAGGGUUCUUUUGUGCAGAACAAGAAAUAGAGUUCAUACAAGCCAUGUUAAAUGAAACUAAUAAGCACGAAAAAUACAAAGUAAGGUUCCUGCUACGGUUAUGUCUGUAUGUUCGUGGUACAUGUGAAGGGUUAGAGAGGGAGAAAGAGUCUAUCUUAUGUUCCUUUUUUUUGGUUCCCUACAAAUGAUGUGAGAAUUCUCUUACUCUAGAUUUCAAAUAACUUCAGGAGGAAUUAUUUGAAAUCUGUUGCUAUAUAGCUGAAACUCAUGUAGGGUGGAUUUAAAGCCCUUUAUGCCCAAUUCAUCCGCCCAAUGAAAAUUUUCCGGGUCAAGCUGUUAUAUGUAUCUUUGGAGCUUUGAAUCAGGGACUCAGAGUCCUGUGUGUAUUGGACGAAGGGGAACCCGCAAAUGUAGUAUUAGGAGGAUCUUUUGAUAGGAAAAAGCUGACCAUGAGAGGAGACAAGGAAGACUAUGUAUGGGGCAUGAAAUUCUAGGCUUUCUGUUUCUACCAUUUUAAUUGAAAGUAAAUCUUUUAUAGUGCAAAUGAUCCUUAGCUGGCAUGGUGCAACGAAUGUCAAUUAUGGCAACCUUUUUCUAAGUGGUCAUUUGAGCAUCACAUGAGCAUCUUGUUGUAUGUACUGCUGUUUGCAUGUGUCCAUUUGGUGGCUGUGAAAUCAUGUGGAACUUGUUUGACGCUUCUGUUGUUGCUUUUACUUUACCACACAUGAUUGAUGACCACAAUAAUAUUUACCUUCCUAGAACUCCUUUUUCUUGAUAAAGUUGUGAAUUCUAUACUGAUUUGGUGUGGGAGGCAAAACAAUUGGAUAUAUUAUCCAUAUGAAAGUUUAUACAUCUUAAAAUGCUGAAAGCAUCUGUUAGUCAAGCCUACUUAUUUUAGUAGACUUUGGGCAUGUACCAGGUUUCUGGCUCCUACUGAGCUAAAAGUUAUUUUGAGUUUAUCUUAAAUGCACAUGGCUUUUGCUAUGCGCUUAAUGUAAGCUGAAGAAGCUGGACUGGAAAUACAGCCCCUGAGGUGGUUGCAGAAACACUUUUUGGCUUCUUUGGAACUUUUAAACCAAAAGCAUGCUUUCAACCGUUAAAAAGCUUAUUUGAUGAAUACUUUCUUCAAAAAAGCUUUAAAAGGCUGAAGAAUUUCAGAUGAGGCUCUGUUUUUGAUGUAAAAAGCUUAUUUGAUGAAUACUUUGUCAAUAAGCUGAAGUCUAAAAGAUUCAUUAGAAUUUUACUGCUUUUAGGAAAAUAUCCGAAUAUGUAUGAAGAUUUUUUGCUAUGCUCUUCCUGAUAAUGAAGAAGAAGAGAGAGAAGCGAAGUGGACAAAAAUGUAUAUUGCAAGAAAUUAUUAACAUGUAUCACAUCUGAUCUAUUUAUGUAUUGUAUCCAAACAUAUUCCUGUGUUGAGAUGCAAGCAAUCAAUUACAGUAAAAUAAAAUUUUAUAAAAAGCAGUCAUAUGAAGAAUGUUUGAGAUCUUGAUCAGGAAUUCUGUGUUUCAUUACAUGAUGGUCAAUAUAUCUGCCCCUUUUAGAAGCAAUUACUAGUAAAAUAGUUUCUGUAGAUAUAUUUCCAUGUCUAACUUGCUUUAGUUUUGUAUCUUUGAUUUUGCAAUAGGAGGAUCCUGUGCUCUUAGUGCCUGAGGAAGCAAAUCAGAAGCCUUAUGUGGCCAUUAUCAAGGUAUGUGUGAAUUGUCAUAAACCCUGUUGCACAAGCUGAACAUGAAGACUGAAGAUUAUAUACCCAUUCUAUAUUUUUGAGGAUAUUUCUAUUUUAUACUGCAAGUGUGCAGUAAUGUGAAGAAAUUAUGAAGAAGAAUGAAAGAGACAUAUAUAACAAGUAUUUUUCAUGGUUUUGCUAGUCCUCUUGCCAUUCUUUCUAUUUCCCAGUGGGGGUUAUAUUCCAGUGGACUUUUUUUGUUUAGCUAAUGAGCUGUCUCAUAGGCUUCUUUGGUGGUGGAUCAUUUUGUUGUGCUAUUGGGCUUUGAAACUAUAGAAUUGUUGAAUAGACUCCUUAAUGUACCUUACGACUUCCUGAGUUUUCUGUCCUCCACAUUGCUUCAAUAAUGGUUGUCAAAGGCUGAUUGUUGAAAUGGUUUUGCUAUAUUCAAUGCUGUUUUCAGUUUUUUCUUUUUCCCUAAAGAUUAUCUAUAUUGGUUGUCUAGAGCAUUUACCUGGUCCCUUAGUGGCAUACACGCUUUAUAGGUGAAAGGCCUAAUGCGUUGUUGUUAGUUGGUUUUUGUGCAAAUGAUUGUAUUAUACUGGAGUACGUUGAUACUGGUUUUUCGGCAUCAGUAGGUUGGCAAAUUUGCAGAGAAUGUUUCCAGUUGUGUAGAAUUGGUAUUUUUCCAGUUGUGGCAAAUUUGCUUCUGUUUUCAGGACAUAUCUCAGACAAGAAAUGGGAGCUUGAUGGUCACUGGGCAAUGGUUUUAUCGUCCUGAAGAGGCAGAAAAGAAAAGUGGUGGUAAUUGGCAAUCCACUGAUACGCGAGAGCUGUUUUAUAGUUUUCACAGGGAUGAGGUCCCAGCAGAAUCUGUCAUGCACAAGUGUGUGGUGCAUUUUAUACCUCUGAACAAGCAGAUUCCCCCACGGAAGCAACAUCCAGGUUUCAUAGUGCAAAGGGUAUACGACACUGAACAAAGAAGGCUUUUCAAGCUUACAGAUAAAGAUUAUGAAGACAACAAACAGGAAGAGAUUGAACUCCUUGUUCAGAAGACAAUGUCACGCUUGGGAGAUCUUCCUGACAUCGAGCCAGAGGAGGCAGCUACUGAUCAGGAACAUCAGUUGAGAAACAAAAGACUGUUGAGGAAGAAGAGCAUGACUCAGUUGGAUGUUUCCCGAGAGGAUGAAGCAUCUACAAGAUCUGGGCAGUCUUUUAAAGCUGAGACUCCAGGAAGUUGUGCUAGUAAUGCAUCAGAAUAUUACACCAUUCUUUCAAGCUUAAAGGCCCUGACUGGUGAAACACAGCGGGACAAGUGGUUGGAAAGGCUGCUUCAAUCGAUUCAGUUUAUAUGCACUACCGCUGAUGGGGGUCCGGGUGAUGGAAAGGGGCUAGCAGCUCCUGCAAAUGGAAAUGAGGUCAAGAAUCUUAAUGUAAUGGCAAACUUCUCUUUCAUCAGCUUUUCUAAGAGUAAUUUGACACCUCAUAUCGUGGUGGUUCUUCACUACUACUAUAGUUUAUCUACAAGAAUCUGCAAAUUGGCACUGGAUGAUCUUUUCUAUUAUAUAAUUGUUUAAUUUAAUUUAUAUGUUCAGAGUGGUUUGCCUUUUCACUGGCCGGACAGCGCUGUUGCUGCUAUAGCUGCUCUUGAAAAGGCUUCUCAUGAAGCUUUAUCCUCAGACUUUCAGAAGUAUAACCAAAAGAUGCGGCAAUUGGCUUUCAAUCUUAAGGUGAACAUUAUCUGUAUCUGUCAUGUGUGUGAUGAUUUAUUUUAUUCUUUAAGGUCUGCUUUCGUGAGAUGGGAUGAAAAUUGGAUUGUGGGUGAACUUAAUAUCCUGAAGUUUCAUGUUUCAGUGUUGUGAUGAUGAUGUCUUUCCUUUUCUAAAUAAAAGAUAAGGAAACCAUACUUUGUGGUCUUUUGAUUCCUGGAGCUAUCAUUCUUCCCAUCUUCUGAUUCUCUUGGGGGCUUUUUCUUUAAUUCUGAACCAUUUGCAGAACAAUGCAGUUUUAGCAGGACGACUUCUGAAGGGAGAGUUGGAGCCUUCACAAAUAUUGAGCAUGACACCUAAUGAGUUAAAGGUAUAGCUGUUACUUUUUUCAUGAUCUAUAAUUUCCGGAUGAUUCUCCUUUAAUCGUUCAUUCUAUUGGAUGAAUAAAUUGUUCUCUUCAGUGAUUCCUGUGUUGGCAAUCUUCGUAUUACACUUAGAUUCAUUCUAUAUUCUUGUACACGAAUAUGCAUCAUUUUUUAUUCGUAUAAUACAAUGCAUAAAUGGUGCAUGGUCCAGUUGUAUCCAUGACAUUAUGUACAGCUGGUCUAGUUUUCCUAACAUGGCUUUUUACUCCUGAUUUUGUAAUACUAGAUAAUUGCUAUCAGCAAUAUUUUUACCUUGUUAGCCUUUUCUUUUAUGCUUCAGGAGGGUUUGACAGCAGAGGAGAUAGCGAGUAGGAAGCCUGAGGAGUCAGAACACAGGCAGGUAAUCAUCUCGAUUUGUGGAUUUUCUGGAGAUUAACUCUUUAGUUUUGGAAGGAUAACUAAUAAAAACUUGCAUUGUGUAGAGAUAACUUUUUGAAAACUUGUUUUCAGUCACAUAGAGCCAGCAAUUUUCUCUUAUUUCGUGGAAUAUCAUCUGGAAUUUUGUCUAUAUGCCUGUAAAAAUUUCAGCCGUCUACCUUGGAACGAUGGAGUUUAUUAUUAUUAUUUGGCUGGAGCCAUGGAGAUUUAAAUGGACUAUAUGGGAAUUAGUUCUGGCUAUAGUUGUAUCCAUGAGAUUGACCUGACAAUACAGUAGUAGGUUUUCAUGGCUCCAUCGUGUUAGAAUUGUUAUUAUCUUUUUAAAAACGUUUCUGCGAUAUUUCUGGUGAGGAUAUUACUUUCUCUUUUUUUAGGCUAAAGGAUGUACAAGUGUUGUUAACGCUGUGAUUUGGCUUAUGAUACAGAUGACAGAUGCUCGCUGCAAAAGGUGCAUGGAGAAGAAAGUGGUUCUUAUAGAUAUAAUUCAGACUGGCCAUGGAGAUCGUUAUCAGGUUUGCACUCAUACGCAUUGAACUUGUUUCUCGAUUACCUUGCCUUGUAUGAAUGCAAGCAUAUUAUCUGCCAUAGUUCAUGUUAUUUUUUACUUAAUCCAGAUGCAAGAUAUACUUUAUCUUUCACUCUCUUUAGCUUGCUCACUCCUGGAUGUCCACUUGUUAAGUUGUACCAAUGUGCUAAUAUCUAUUUCUUCUUCUUUUUUUUCAAUCCCAAUUUCUCAUAAUUUUUCUGGGGUUUUUUUUGUUUUGUUGGUUUUAUCUUUUUCCCUUUUUCUUUUUGCCUCUUCUCUCUUUUGGUGAAUGGGAAAAAUUUUUUUUUUGUUUGGGGGGCUGAUCUUAAAGAGUAUGGUUGGCUGAUGUUUGUGUUACUUGAUCUUGAUGCUUAGAGGUAGAGGCGUUUAUUUUCCACAACAUACACUGAGAAAUUGAAAAGUGUAUAGGUUCAUGCAGCAAUGAGAGUAAGUUUUUCGAUACUGCGCUUCAUCCCUAGGUUAUGUAGAAAGGAGUCAGUUUUGAGGAUGAGCCUGCUGUCAACUUAUACAUCGUACCCCAGUUCCUUUUUUUUUUUUUUUGGUUUUCCCUUUUCUGGGCGGUGUGGAGUUUCCAUUGACUUCAUAUUUUCCCCCAUCCGGUCUUGGUGAAAUUUGCAGCUGGAGUGCAAUGCUUGUGGCAACAACUGGUAUGCUUCAAGUGAUGAAGUAUCUACGUUGACGAUAGAUGAGCCAAGUUCUGCGAGGACUGUUGGAACUGUACCUUUGGCGACUGCCAAGUUCGAAGAUGUGGAAAAGAAGUUGGUUAGUCCUCGUAGACAUGACAAGUCAGCCGAUGAUGGGUUUAAGAAGACGAGUGAAGCUUUUGUGCCCGUGCUGGACAGCCAGAAAUAGUCAUGGAAGCCUGCCUAAAAGUAUAUAUAAAUUAUUAUGAUACUCUACUAGAUACUAAUGGUGCUACGCGAAUUUUUAGGAUUUUUCUUGUCUAUGAGAUUGGCCCGCGUUAGAGACUAGUUUGGAUGGGUAAUCAUGCCUAGGUGUAUUAUAUAUAGACAUAGCAAAUGUAACACGCGGGAACCUUUGCAUAGUGGAGCUUUAGGCUUAUAUAGGAAUAGGAGGAGGAUGUUUGUCUAGUGAGUAAAUCCAUAGGUGAGAGCUUUGGUUAUUAUUAUGGUGUACAAAGUGGGCAGCGUGUUUUUAUUCCCGACAAAGCCAACACCGAUUCUGCGGCUACUACUUGCGCUUAAUGUUUAAAGUUUACUACCUCUUCAAAAUUCCAAAAUGGGGUAAGAGGACAUAUAAUUUUGAUAAAUAAAUCCCAUUUCAUCACGUGCGCACCGUGUAUAAUAGUCCUAGGUGUGUUUUAGUACCUGGAAACCAAAACCUAUAAGGAGCCGCCAUUCCUUCAAGGUUGUACGAUUCCCGCCUCCGUAGAUUUUAUCCUUCCAAAUUUGUAAGGCAUCCUAUUCUAUCGACUGUAUGAUGGUGCCAUUACUCUGCUAAUUACAGAGAAUCUCAACCCUUCAUGGCCUCUCAUUGUAUCUUUUGAGAAAGCAAGCAAUGCAAACUAGGAGUUUGAACUCUUCCAAUCUCCUGCAGCACAACUUUCCCAGCCUCGACCCCUAAGGAGUAAGACCCCGAGAUCGAGGAAUUGGUCAGAGCUUCAAGAAGACGUGCUGGAACUCACCGCCCAAUGCCUAACCAAGAAUGAAGAUAAAAUAACGUGGCCUUUUGGUGCAGCUUGCAGCACCUCAUGGCGAGCCGCUGCUGCUCCAAAAAUAAGAAUUACUACUAACUUCAAGGGGCUGCGUCUAUGAAAGCAUAUUCCCUGCCUCAAGUAUUCGGCUAAGGGAGCCAAUAGUGACGGAGAGUUUUACAGCUUGAUGGAGAGAAACAGAAAAAUCGGGGCUAGACCCCAACUCAAAAACGCAAAGAAUGUUUUGAAUCGUUGGGCAACCACUGGCCAUGCGUAAUUCUAGGCGAACAGUAGAUUAGCCAAGUUCUUGUGUCAAUAACUUUUGGUACGAAUAUUAACCUUGCUUGUUGCUUGAACAAUUCUUUUGUCUCACAUUAAAGCUCCAAGAAUCGACUUCAAUAUGUUUAUUUUGUUCAAGUACCUCCCAACAUCUGCUUUAAACUCAUGGCACAAAGUCCCGAGACCUAAUGCGCUCCCAUACUCAAAUUUAAUUUGGGCAGUAUAGGUAUGUAAAAUAUGGGACUAGGCCUAAUUGAAAAUAUAUCCAAUAAUACCCAUUUAAAAUAUGGAUCUAACCGGAACUUACUUGAGAUUCUCAUAGAUCUUUCUUUCCCCCAGAGUCUAAAAAUAUUGAUUUUCUUAAAGACAAAAACCAACCAAUAUUUUCGAGACAUUUGACUAGCAAAGUUUGUUAUGUCCAAAUUGAACUUCAGAAAGUAAAUUUACUUUCAAAUCUCAUGAAAUUUAGUUUUGGGUCCGUUUGGAUUAGCUGUUUUUGGGGGGUGUUUUUGAAAAAUUUUACUGUAACAGAGUUUUUAGAGUAUAUUUUUUGGGAUAUUUUUAGAAAAUAUUUUGGAAUAUUUAAGAGUAGUAGAGUUUUUAAGAUUUUUUUGGGAUAUUUUUUGAAUAUUAAAAAAAAAUUAGACUACUUUUUAAAGUACGUUUUAUAGUACUGUUAGUUUUUGAAAAAUUAGUGGAUCAAAACAGAUGAAUUUAGAAAGAAAAAAAUCAAUUGGCAUAGGUUUUGUUGCAUGAUUUUUCCACAGUGUAAAGAAUUAAAACUGAUUAAUUUCAUCCUGACAUGGAUUGUGCAAAUCUGUAUAAGAUCUUAGUAUGUUGGAGGAAACGUGACGAGCGUUUAGUCAUAUGAAGUAGAAAUUUGGGCAAAUACAAAACUGAAUCAUCAAACAUUUCAGGAGAAUGCAUAACUUUGAUGGUGGAAAGUUUUACAGAGUUUAAACAAACUAACUAAAUGAUAUUUAAAAAUAAGUAAUAUUGAGACAUUUGAUUUGGACAAAAAAAAAGAGUUAAAAAAAAUUUAUUAGAUAUUUGGACGGUAUUAAAAUAGAUCUAACCCAUUUUAGUCCUGCAUAUACUUCGUAUUUUACGGUUCCAAUUAAGUCCCGUCCAAAUUUCGCCCAUUUCUACUCGUGCCUCCCUGCUGCAUGCAUGAAAUGAUUACCCGUUGUACCACUGAACCAAAGUGUGGGAAAGGCAAUCAUUGAUUGAACAUGGUCGACUUUUAUAACAGAGUGCUAACGGUAUUCAUCCUACCCAUAUUGUAGUAAAUUAUUUCGGAAAGCUCAAAACGGUGUCGUAUAGCCCCCCCAGUCCUCAAUUGUCAUUUGGACAUGACCAGUUGCUGGUCAACUCUGUGCAGUAUUAUUGGAACGGAAAACCCCAAUUCGCCGGAUGAGGGGCGAGCUGUUCACGGCCAGGAUUUCGUUCAAAAAGAAGUACGGUUCAGAUCAUUUUUUGUAUCUUGUUUCUAACAAUGUGUGUGAGACUCACAAAAAUUUGUUCUAAAGUUAUACGUUGUGAAAAUAAAAUUACGCGAUAUGUAAAAUGUACAAAAUCGAUUAUACCUGCAAUCGCUGCUGCCCGUGGUCCCAAUUCGCCGUGGCCUGCUUUGCGGCUUUGGGGGGGGGGGGGGAGCAUUGGCAGUGCAUGAAUAUCUGUCUUCACUGGGGAGAGUUUCUCAAACUUGAGAUCAUAGAUUUCAAUUCCAUAAAAUCACACACUCUAAUCAAGAUUGAAUAGCUGCAUGUGCCCGUCUUGCAUUUCAAUCCGUUUAUACAACUUCUCAAGCCAAUUUAUUAAGAGUUUCCUAAACUUGAGAUCAUAGGUUUCAAUUUCACAAAUAACACUCCGGUCAAGAUUAAAAAGUUUUAAAUUCCCCUUUCUUGCAUUUCAAUCCUUUUUUUUUUCCAACCAACUUGGCAAGCUUUUUUUUUUUUUUUUUUUUUUUUUAAAAAAAAGAAUAUAUUACAAGUACAUGUAAACAUUGUAAUCAAUCCACAAAUUGAUAAGAGUGUAUAGUGGAUCGAGCGGUUUGAACUCUAUGACUCUUUUUUCAGUGGUUGAGGAUUUGAUUCCUACCUCUGCCAAGUUUGCAAAUAUUAUCGCAACUUAACAGGAUAGCGGGAAUAUGCAACUCAGGAGCAGCCGGAGGCAUUCCUAUUUUAAUAGACUAAUAGUAUAGGAUUUUUUUUCUUUCCCCAAAAAUCCCCCAGAAUAGGAGUUCAUCCACAAAUCGAUUUCCGCUCUCUAUCAAGUUGGGGAAUUCUAAAGAGUGUUGUAGAGAUGAGGCAGUACUGGUGAGGUUAGAAAUUAGACCAGAAAAUUCUUGUAGUAUGAGACUAACAUCGAAAACUAUUUUUAAAUCUAUACCUACUUACUUAUAAAUAAUAGUUUGAUGCGAAAUUUGACCGACUGCUUCAGUUUUGCUUCCUCCCGCCUAAACCAAUCACAUGCCCCCUUCCCUUUUACUGUACAAUUUUCUUCUCCCAGUCCCAUUCCUACCGGCACAACUACAAGCCUUGUACUUUAGCUGCAUCAUGGGGACCAAAGUAGGCCUUUUUUUAAAAUAUAUAUAUAUAUAUAUAUAUAUAUAUAUAUAUAUAUAAUUUGGUUUCUAUAACCAACAAAGCAUUCACAAAAGUUAAAAAUGAAAACAAAGAAGAGAAGAUGCAGAUCCAAUCUCCAGCUUGUAAAUAAUUCUUCUCCCAUGAUAUAUUCGACUUACCUUCUACGGUUUGUCCUGUUAUUCAAUCAAGGAUUCCCUUUUUAUUAUUUAUAUUAAAUGCAUCUUUCAAGAGUUAGGAAAUAGGAAAUACACAAGAAAAUAUUUUUAGUUUAAGAUUUUCAUCCUGUCUAAUGAACUACUAUAGAAUAGAUUUAACCGGGACUAUUUUCUCAUUGCUCAAGCUACAGUUCAAUCUUUUAGUAGUAACCAGGAUUAAUAAAAUAAAAAAGCUGAUUUGCCAGAAUAACUUAUAUGGUAACAGUUGGGGUGACAUUUACUCAAGGGUUCUGCCCCCUAACUGUGUUUAGCUGUAAUAAAGGUUCUACAUUUAAAGGUUGUGUCAAAUUUUUGAUACACAUAUCAUAAAUCAAACGGUGAUAGUGCAUGCACUGUUAUCAGUAUAUAUAAGAUUUAUUCAAACUAAAAACUUUCCGUCAGUUUUCAUUAAUUAAUCGACACAGGCACAUGCCAAUAAUGCUCUACCACAAGUAGCAAUUUUGCCACUAUGUGUUGCAUAGCAAUGACAGAUCUUUUUCAGGGCAAUGUCCUUUUCCAAAUUGAACUGCAAGUUCUAAAGAGUGAUCUACCAAACAUAUCGGAGUAUUGGACCCUUCUGCAAUUGAUAGUGAAAUACCACUGCUUUAAUUGCUUAGACUUCAAGAAUUUAGGAGCAAGGCUGUAUCGAAAGCUUAGUUGGUGGAUGUACUCCUAGUCACAUCACUCAAGUUACUUUUAAAUGAUUUUGUACCAUCUUCUUUUUUGCAUCUUGAGACAAGAAAGCAAAAAAACCAAAAAAAAAAAAAAAUGAAAAUCUUGUCCAUAUCUUCAAUAAGUAUCGUGGAUCAUAAGGUAAUUGCACUAAAGGAGGGAUCUGUGAUCUCCUAAAUUCAAGGUAAAUUUUUAUAAUCUAAAAUUUUCAAAGAUAACCAUUAAUUGCCAAAAUCUUGUCUUAAUAUGGACUAGUACUAAUUAAUAUAGCAUUAAUGAGCGGGAAAAGCCGGGAGAAACUAAGCCUGCAUUUCCCAAUAAAAUAAGAUAAUCAUAUCUGCAGUGAUUUCCCAAAUAAUCAUUUCUUAAUUGGUUCCUCUCGAAUUCCCCGAUUUACCCCUAUAUUAGCCUGCUAUUUUGGUCUAAUCAAGGGGCAGUAUUGUCUUUAAAAAGAGAUUGCGGUAUUGUCUUUUAACAGAGAGCUAGAUUGCCAUGUUGAAGGCGCCUAAACGUCCUAAAAAGUAACGUUAAAGAAACAGAGCAAGGCGCAAAAAACACACACAUUGGACACAGCAAUGUAUGAAUGAGUGAGUGAAAAUGAUAGUCAAAGCAAGAAGAAAACUUUUUUCUAGUGGACACUGUCUGAAGCUUUUGCAGCUCUCUGUCUCUCUUCUCCUCUGUUCUUCCUCAUGUGAGAGAGAGUGUGAGUGAGUGUUCUGUCCCUUGAAACGCUUCUUCUUUUUCUCUCCGCCUUUCCCUUUUUCUCUCUGGUAAAAACUCUCUUUCUGCGCUUAUUAGUUAUUACACUUCUGCACGAGGAUAUGUUGUCUCUGUGUGCCUGUCUGCGUGUGUUUUUAUCUCUUUUUUGGUAUUUUUGGGUCUUGUUUGUAUUUAGUUUUUCUUGACUGGUUGUGAAAUUUUAGUACUAUCUCUUGUCACAUUUUUAAUGUUCCCUGAAAGAUUUUUAUUUUUGUUUGGGUCGAAAAAUUAGAAAUGAUAAAUGGGCUAUUCCUACUUUUGGAUUAGACGUUCAGCUAAAGAGAUAGAAGAAAUGAUUACUUCUACUUGAGAGUUGUUGGGUAUUUCGUUUUUUUUUUUUCCUUUUUCUUUGGCUUCACUUCUCUGAGAUCUAGUGGGGUAUGGCCAUUGCAAUUAGCCAUUGUUCCUUUAUUGGCUUGCAAUGCAAGUGUGUACAAAAAGAUUGGAUUUUUAAUCACUCCUGUUUGUUUAUUAGUAUCUUUCUGACCCACAUUGGGGAUUAUAGAUUGCUUAUUGUUGCAGGAUUACUUGUACGAGAUCAAAUUUUUUUCUUUUUCCUUUAUCUCUUGGAAAAUUUUUCUCCACUAGCUUUGCUUGAUUAGUAGGGUCCUGGCAUUUGGGGUAUAAGUUCUUUGCAGUGCUGCUUCAUGUGUAGGAAAUUUGUUAGUAUUCUUGGCUUAAAGUAUAUUAGCUUCUCUAUUGUCAUCUCCAUUUGCAAUUGAAACAUGGGUAGUAUCUUCUUUCAAUCAGUUGUCAGCUUUAGCUUUUCCUCCUGAAAAUACAUAAGCAUUCUAUUUUGUUAGUCUAGUAUUAUUUGCUAAGAUCUGGCCGUGUGCUUCAUGUCUGAGUCCUCUAAGUUGCUAAAUCUAUUAACGGAUUGGAUAUAGGCUGAUAUUAAUGUGGGCAUGCAUAUGAAUUCUGCCCAAAUUGCCCUUUCUGUUUGCACAUGAUAGCGUUAUAUGUAUGUUAGAAAUAGGAAAUUGAAUUUCUUUGCGUUAUAUGUCCGUUCAUUUCAAUUUGUGGUUUCGCCUAAACAAGAUUUUAAUUCUAUGAAAUAGUACUGGUUGGAUAAGUGUCAGUAUCUCACUUUUACUUCUUGAGUUUUCUAGUGAUUAUCUUUGAUCAAUUGUAAGUCAUCAUACUGCUUCUGUUGUUACUGAUCUGUUGUAGUUCUGAUUUGUGUCAGGUUUUACAUGUGCCAAUGAGAUUGGGACAUGGAGUUGGAAUUUGACAAAUAUUGCAUAGUGGAUGGAAGUCCAACAACUGUUCUUCCAUCUCCUCGGUGUCAUUCAAAAGUUGAAAAGAGGAAAUCAAAAGGUUAUCCAAGACAUGGAAAUGAUUUAUUGACCGUGAAUGAAGACUUCAGUGAGAUUAGCUUCCAUCGCUAUCGUAGUGUUUCCUGUAAGAACACUUCAUCCAGGACAACUCCUCUGGGAUAUGAUGAAGUGCGAAAGAGGGGCUCCGUCUAUCAAAGCUCCAAAGAAGUAAGGUUGAUGAGGAAAACUGCUGCUACAGAAGGCAGGAAAAAAAUCGAAUUCUCACAGAGCAGUGCAACUGCACUUUCAUUUGGAAUACUUGAUUCUUUGUGUGGUUCAGACGAGGAAAGCUCACAAGUGGAGCAGAAAAGAUCCUCAGUGAUGUCACAGAACUCAGACUUCAGUACAGCAGCAAUUUGCAAGUCUGGUGCAGAUUUGCAGUCUGAUGAUUUCUUAGAUAUCUGCCUCAAUCCUGUAUCAAUCAAAGGUAUCCCACCAGAUGGCUCUUCAGAACUUUCUUUUGAAUUAGAUGGUAGGGAUGAUCAAUGUGCUGAAAAUGCAGAGAGGCAGUCCGUGCACGGCCCUAAAUUCAAAUCUAAACCAGUAGUUGUUCCUGUCAGUGAUGGUAACAGCCUACAUGAAAGAGAUCCAGGUUUUUCUUUACACAAAUCUUUAUCAGCCAAAUUAGCACUUCCACAUUCUCCUGCUCGAUCAGAGAGUGAUUCCUCCAGAACCAGUAGUCCAAUGACCAGGUUUGGUCCUGUCAGAAAGGUGUUUGAUCCAUUUGUGAAAUCCAAGUCGCAAAGGAGUCCUCUUAGUGCUUCAGGUGAAACAAUUAGUAGAAACCCAACUGGGCUUGUUAGUAUCAGCCGAAGCAAGACAUCUCGCAAGUCUCUGCUUCAUGAUUUUUCAAACACUGGACAGCGCAUGGAAUUUCAGUCUUGGUCAAUGAAGGACAAUAAUAAUCAAGUUGUCCAGAGCACAGUAGCUCACCUUCAGGGCAUUCUCAAGGUGAAUAAGAAACACGAGUGUCCAAUUUUUGAGUUCUCAACAAAGUUUCCUGAAGACUUUUUUGUUGCCAGGACAUGGAAAGUGGGUAAUGCCUUAAAUUGGAUUUAUACUUUUCAUUCAGUUAAUGAAAGAAGGAAAAGUAAUGCUAGUGGACGUGGUUCCAAAGAAAGCCACAGAGUAUCUUCCAUGGUAGGACAGAUGCAGGUGUCCUGUUAUUUAUCUGCUGAGUUAAAGGAAGCUGGAGCUUUUGAUAACUCUAUGAUGACAGAAUUUGUGUUGUACGAUAUGCUACACCCAAGAAAGAGUGUUUCCUCGCAAGACAAUUGUUGCUUCAUUGAAGUUGCUGAAGCACCCAAGGCAUCAGAUGAAAAUUCCUUUGUAGGUAGUCAUAAUUUGGAUGCAGGCUCUGUCAAAACUAAGAUCAAAGGACAGGCAAAGCAUGGUUGUGAUUCUGGUCAUGUUGAGUCAUCAAUGACUUACCCUCUGCCAGCUGCAGAAUUGCAUCCACACCUUCAAAUAGGAGCUAUUGUUGUGCAAGUUCCUUAUGAAAAGAGAGAGAGUUUGAAAUUUAAAAGCAGUGACAAGAAAAUGGAUCUACCACUGUUGAACUUUCUUGAUCACUCCGGUGGUGAACAUGAGAAGGAACUUGUUCCUGAUUCUGUGAGUCCAGUAAAGAUGGAUGUCGUAAUCCCUUCCGGUAAUCAUAGUCUGCCAACUUCUGAAAGUCAUGGCCCUUCACCUUUGAUGGAUAGAUGGAGAUUAGGUGGAGGUUGUGAUUGUGGUGGUUGGGACAUGGCAUGCCCCCUGCACAUAUUUAGCAAUCUUCGUAUCCGGAUGGCUGACAGUCAUCUCCUUAUGGAUAAUCGGCAGCCACUGAAGCUUUUUUUCCAGGUAAUCUUUGUAUGUAAGCCAAAGUUAAUGGCUUCAACUAUUUUUAUUUGUGACUCUUCGUAGGCUAAUUAUUUUGUAAAUCAAAUUGAUUUCUUUUAUUUCUGAACUUCACAUUGACUUUGUUGGAAGAACACUUAAAGGAUGCUCAUAAUGGUUGUUAACUAGACACACUAGAAUUUUGGAUGCUUGUUCUUAUGUUACGGUACAAUACCAAAUGCGUAUAAUUUGUUUGAGGUUUGCCCUCAGUUAUUGAGUUACUCUAUCCUAACUUUACAGGGAAAGAAAGAUACUACUCCAGCACUGACGAUGGCAGUGAUGCAAGAUGGACAGUAUGCAGUUGAUUUCCAUGCGCAGCUAUCCACAUUACAAGCAUUUUCGAUAUGCGUUGCUGUGUUGCAUAUCAUGGAAUCCUCUGUUAGUUCAAGACAAGAAGAAAACAAGCAAUUAUUGCAAAGCAAUUCUUUGAGAGUGUUCAUUGAGGAGGAAGUCAAAAAUCUCAUUGAUGCAGUCACAGAAGAAGACAAAUGUAAGGGCAACAAAAAGAUGGCCGAAGUCUUGCCAUCUUUUAUAGUCAAUCCACCCUUUUCUCCAAUUGCUCGAGUAUAGGCUUGAUUGUAUGCAAUAAAAAAUUGGAAGCAGUGAGACACAAAUGUUGUGCAGCUGGAAAUAAGUUUGAAGCUGCUAGAUGCACUGGGAUUAUUGGAUUCUUGAAAACAAAAUCAACAUAUGCUUGAUGAUGUUAAAAUGAAGAUGCAGACAAUCCCAGAUUUUGUUUUCGUGCCUCGACAGAGCAACAGUCAAAAAAGUGGGUUACUGGAUUGGAACUGGUCAACCUUCCUCUUGUAUUCUUGAUUUGUUUUUCUCACUUUAGGGAUCGAUUCAUAGAGUAAAGACCACACUGUUUAUAAUGUUAGAUAUUAGCAACGGAAUAGUCAUCAUUCAAUUGUUGAGAGCUAGCUCUUCAUUUUUGUAAUUUAUGAUUAUCUUAGGUCUUAGGGAGAGUAUCCUGGAGUUGUUUAUUAAGAUUCACUCUUUAAUCACAGAGGCAAGUGGCACUCGUACUUCCAGAACUCUGUAACUAUACAAUAAGGGAAAGUGACUUGCUCAUCAAUACUUCUUUCUUUAUUACUCAUCCAGGACUGUGUGCCUAUUCUACAUUUUGCAGAGUAUAGCCGGGCACGUCGGCUUGGUGAUUCUUUUAAGAUCAAUGUAGUAAUGACAAUUUGUGGCAUCUUUAUCUUUUUGGAUCCAGUACACCAACAUAUUUCUGCAGUUUUGCAGACAGUGAUUUUGAAUCUGCAUGCUUCUAGUUGUCUCUAAUUUCUUGUUUUAAUCAUCAGAAGAUGUUCUGUGACCUUCACUACAUAGGAAUAUGCUGCAAAAGUGUACCUUGUACCUCUAAUGCGCAGCGUUUCCCAACUAGAAGUCUAAACCAUGCAUACACACUGUUAUUAUUAAGUGCCAAAAUCUAGUGAAGGGAACAAACGUUUUGAGAAGAUGAUUUCGAGAAUAUAAAAGAAUAAUACUAGUUGAUUUAACAGCACCUAAUGGUGAAAUGUAUAUCGGCGUAUUGUUGGCAACAUCAACAGCUAAUUGAUCAGUAAUUAAAACCUACCAACAUACAAUUCAUCAGAGACAAAACAAGCUAGCAAUCACGUCCUCAUUGAAAAGGAAUGCACAAGUUCAUGAACAACAAUAAAAAUAGUCCAGACUCUCGUAAAUCAAUGCGAUAAGGGAAAAGAAAAGAAAUUAAAAUUUUGGGGUGAUCCAAAUGGAUGGGGAAAUAUUGCUAAGCCUACGAGGGCCCUGGUAGAAGGGCUGAAUGGUUCCAGUUUCCAAGUUGUAGACACCCAUAUCCUUGCCACCGGUGACUUCUUGAAUACUCUUAUAUGCGUCCCAGCAAUCAUCAGUAAAAUAGAUAUGAUUGGGUUGGAUUCCAGGGAGUGAAAACUUGUUGGAUGAGACCUGCAGGGAAGUAGAAGCGCUGUGACCAACAAAAACGGCUUUAUUUCCCAAACUAUGUAUCUCCUUCCACGUCCCUCCUGAUAAAUCUACCUCGUACAACUUAAAUUCAGUUGUACCAUAGUUUGGCUGGUCGUCAUCAUCAGCAUAAUGCGAGUAAUUAUCUCGUGUUACUACCAGCAGGGAUUCCUUGUCUGAAGAUGAAGACUCAAGAACUAGGUACAAGUGCUUGAAGUCCACUAUAAGGUUUGAGUGGUAAUCUCUUAAAUGCUGGUCUCUGUAGGACUCUUCCGAGUAACGAACCAAUUGAGUUAUCAUCCGAGCCUUGGUGGGAUUAGGCCCCGAUACAUCACAAGCCACAAGAUUGCCAGUACAAUCAAUUGCAUAGAACUGGCCAUUGUGAUAGUUGACAGCAGAAUAUGCAGCGUUAUGGGUCUCAAUCUUGGUCCAAUUUUGGUCACCUUGCCGCCAGAAUGCCAAGUAUCCAACGGAUCCACAUACCAGCAUUACCACGAAGUCUGAGGUUUCACUAGGCCUCGUGGACAACACAAAAAUUUCCACGAAUAUUUCAGGGUCAGUAUUCAGCCAGUCAUCAUCUGGGAAGGUGGUACCAGGAGGCAAAGGAAUUUCGACGUCUGAAAAGGGAUUCAGAAGGGUCAUAUCCCCUUCUUGUCCUACAGCUAACAACCAUCCUAGCGAUUCGUAACACUUUUUACCCUUGAGUUUUGGUAAGCUGAUCUUGGCCACGAUUUCUUUCUCGAUCAAACUGUAGAACUCGCGGUGGUUGUCGUUCUCGUCUUCCGAUUCUGCAAGCAUGAGACAGGGAAUUUGCUGCCACAGUUUCAGCCCCUUGAAAUUCUUCCUUUUGGCCGCGGCAGCUCGCCAUGAAGUGCAAACUGCACCAAAAGCAACGUAAUCUUCAAGUUUGGUGAGGUGCUGCUGGGCUAUGAGUUCCAGCAAGUCGUGUUGAAGUUUCGACCAAUCUCCCAUUCUUGAUCAGGUUACGAUUAUGGUCCAAGACAAACAAAAACGUAAGAAAAUCGUCUUAUCUUAGGGAGGCAUAAACCUAAGAGGCGAUGAUAUCGUAUAAAGGUUAUGGGUUUCUAUUAUCUAUUUCUGUGAAAUCCGAAUCCUAGAUUCAAACCAAGAAGGAAUCAGCAAUCAACUGGGAUAUGCUAAAAAAAAGGUUCCCUGUAGUAAACUUGCCUUGUUCUUUUCCUCGGUUCGUUUCCCAUGCGAAAAAAAAAAGGAUUGGAAAACGCCGUUGCCGGGGAUCGAACCCGGGUCACCCGCGUGACAGGCGGGAAUACUCACCACUAUACUACAACGACUUUGUUGCACUUCGGCUGCAGUUUUGACAUACUACUAGUUCUAACAAAUACAGCACAACCAACAACAUUGCCAACGAAUACCAAGCUGAAGCAGUUGGAGCUCAUGUUUCUCUCUAUUUUCACCGAUAAUAGUUGUCAAAGUCAAUUACUCCUAAAUCCUUCAGACAUGCCCUUGUCUAAUGAAAUGAAGAGUGAUUUCGGGUUUCGAAAUUUUAUUUAUUGUAUCAUAAUUACGCUUUUCAACUUCUGAUUUAUUUUUCUAACAAUUUUUUUAUAUUACAUGCGUCACGCUACAAAAACUACUAUAAUGUUUAAAUUUUUUUUUUUUUUUAAAAAUGCCAAAUAAUCUUCAAACCAAAAAUGUCAUUACACCUGACAGCAGUUAGUUGCCAAUAGGCAAAAUAAUUACUACAAGAAACUUUAGUUUGGCACAAAUGCCACAAAGUACUGCCUCUGUGUUGCUCUUUUUCUCAACUCAAAGACAGGAGAAUAUCAUCCUAAUCGAGUUUAAUUAAUGAAAUAAAUGGUCGAUGGUCAGUUGUUCAUGUUCCACAUUCACCUAAGUUAGUGCCUCAACAUGGUAGAAGCUCCCUGUUCGAUUGAGCAAACUCCAAAAAUUUAGUUGACCAGCAGGCAUAUGAUGCUGUCUUGAUCCUGGUGAAGAAAAGAUGGUGGAUCAUCCUCCUUGACUUGUUCAUGUCGACAGGCUUGAACAUUCACUUGGGAGCUAUCCAGAGAAAAUACCAUCUUAAAAGACUCGUACGAUGCAAAGAAGAGUGCUCCUUGGGUCAUAUACAUGAACAAUCUUGGCGUCAAUCCCCUGAAAUAUGAUACAUGAUACAUUACUACCAAUCCAAGCAAAACCAGGGAGUCAAUUAGAGAACAAACUACGGGCUCCCGGAAAGGGAGAAAAAAGUUUGGCGCAUGAAGAACGCCUCAAUCCAUUUCUUCAACCCUUACCCGUAGAGACCCUUUAAUCCUUCCUUCUUAGCAAUUUCUCUAAGUGUAUCGAAGACACCAGGACACUGGUUCCUGGAUCCAGGAGUCUGCAAAACACACAUCAGAUACUUUGAACCUUUGCAGUGACAUUGCCAAGAAAUGGUUUUCAAAAGCAACAGCUAACGCAUCAUCAGCUUAACCAAUGAUGACAACAAAGUGCUAACCUGUGUUUGUAAUCUUGUCUUGACAACAUCAAAAGGAGUCGUAAAUAAUGCAGCAGUAGAUCCAGCCAAACCUCCAGAGACUAACUGCAACAAUAGGAAAAGAAAUGAAAAGGAAAAAGGUGUCAAUCUUAACAUGAAAGGCGCAAAAUGGGCUUCUCUUGACAACAAUAAUGCUAUUUCUCAGGGGAGAGAGUAACAGUAGCAAGUGGCAACUUUUUAAAACUUCACAGCAAAUUGUCAAGAAAUUUAUGAUGAGAAAAAGAAACCCUAAUUAUCGAAACUCUUAGCAGGCCAGAAAACAGACCGUCACAAGCGUGUUGGUUUGACCAUUCAACUGAACUUGGGAAAAUAAUUGCUUCAGACUCUCGUAUGUGUAGAACUGCAAAAAUCAUGAAAAAGCGACUUAAGUAACUAAAAUUCUUAAACCUAGCUUCUAUGAGGAGAAAUUACAAAACAAUAUCUUAAAAGAAAUGAGGUCAAAUAAGGGGGAAGAGAACUACUAACAAAAACUGUUCCAGGAAUUUUAUCCCCUAAUUUUACCUUGAUGAUAGAGUGCGGAAUGUUCCUGCAGAGUACAGCUGCCCAGCCAGCAUACAAUGAAGGCAAACCACCUUUUUCAAUGAUGCCGACCAAUGCAUUCCUGUUGAAGGACAGAACAGACAAGCAAAAGCAUAUUCAGGAAUGUAACCUAAACAGCAUAAACACACAGUUAUGACCUGAGAAUGAAGAGUAGCUGUGUUAAGAACUUGAUCCAAGACAAUGCACCAAAGUGAGCAGAAAAUUUUAGCAUCUCUACUCCGCACUUUAACAGGGGAAUUACAAAAUGGUAGAAGGCAGGAUUUCAUGCUUUCAAAUUCAUGCCAUCAUGUUGCCCGGAGAUAAUGAAUAAGCAGGAAAAUGAGCAUAGACUGUCAGAUUCAAGGUUCAACUAAUGACAGGACAAGCUUAUACAGGAUCUUAACAAGUAUACCAGCAGUUCUGAUAGCGUGAACCAACUUGCAUCUGCUGCUUUAUACGCUCGCUUGGAGUGAAAAUAAAUGAAGUAGCAACACUGGCACAUCCUCCUGCUAUGCAGUGGGCCAAAGAUUGAUACUCCUACAUAAAGAGAAUUGUUGACAUUCAAACUCCAUCAAAGUGAUUGCACUUUUACCCAAACCCAAUCCAUCUCUACAACCAAUUUUUUGUAGUGCAACCCAGAGAGAGCAACUACUGAAAGAAAUAAACCAGAGAAAGGAAUCUGCUUCUUACCUUGGGAAAAAAGGGAAGCAAAUUCCCCUUUACCCAUUCAUAGGUGAAAGUGUAGACCGCAGAAAUUGGUGCUGAAGACGCAAUAUUAGUUGAAAUUCCACGAUAAAGCCCUGUUACACCUGAAGAUAUUUCAAAGUAUUUUUUAGGUUAGUUAAAGGUACUAAUUUCAACUUGAAAACGAGAAUAGUCUGUUCUACUAAGUUGUUACUAUAAAUUCUUAAGAAAGCUACAAACCUCUUUGAGAGAUAAUUGAUCGACUUAUAUCAUGAAGAGAUUUCUGAUCAGCACGACCUGACUGAACAACAGUCUUGAUCGUGUCCACUGGGUGGAGACACAAGCUGACGAAUACACCAGCCAUAGCUCCUGCAAAAGCAUGCCCUUGUUUUGCAACUGCAGUAUGCGACUUUUCCUUCAUUGGCAAGCAAAUCUGCAUUUCUGAGUUGUCCCCAAUGACAAGCUCCUGCUGCUGAUGCUUUUCAGUCUCUUGCUGGUCAGUUUGAACUGAGAUUUCACUUUCUUCGGUAUUACAAACGCCAGAAAGUAGAAGGCAUCCUAGAGAAUUUGCAGGAGCAUUUGAACUUGGAAGCUCAGACGUGCAGGCAUUUACAUCUCGGACUGUCCCAUCCUCAGUCCACAGUGUAGCAGAAGCCCUUGUACUUUUAGCAGGAUCAUUAUUUUGAACAGAUAAAGAACCUCUGAGUCGGAUUUCAUCAGUUUCAGAGUUGCCAUUUUCCGUGAUCAAAUUAGUGGCAACAAUAGGUUCAAUUACAGACACACUGCAAGUUGUGGGAUCACUCCUAUUGUGCCCACCAUAGUAGUCAUCAGUGUCUUGUUUCUCCAUAGGGUUGAAGUUCAACUGACAUUUUGGAUUAGAAAGAGCUAUUUCAGUCAUCCAACCAUACAUUUUUUCCAGAUCACAUCCUAGAUUUGAAUUUGGAAAGCCUUUUUCUUUCCAAGAUUCCUGAGGCAUUCUAUAACUACUGUGAAGAAGUCUUCUUAGAAGCAAAUAAGUUCCAGAAGAAGGUUGAACAAAUGAAAUCUUGUCCACCACUUUCAGAUACCUCAGAUUUGCAUAGAACACUGGUGGAGAAUCCCGAACACUUAUCGGAUUAACCAUGUCAUUUUGAUUGUCAGCUACCAUGCAUGCAUUACAUGCCCUUUCCCCAGAGGGAUAGCAAAGAAUGGUGCAUUUCUGAAGGCAAUCAUCAUCAUAUCUGAAAGUUGAUUUAGAAACUAAACUAGAAAGAAUGCCAUUUGCACAAUUCCAUAUAGAGCCAAGUGCUGAAAUGAGCUCCCUGGUGCUCAAAAUCUGUGAUGAUGUUGAAUCAGGAGUUCUGCUCUUCUUAUUUUUAUUAGAUGAAGCAGAGACGUAAUCUUUACCACCAAAAUCAACAAGCUCAAAGGAUGCUCCAUCCAAUGAACUACAGCGGUACUUAAUUGAAGGUUUGUCACGCCGUGGUGGCUGACCUGCCCCAGCCAUGAUCUCUUCAAAGUGAUAGUAAAGCAACUGGCAUAUAGACCCGAGAGGCUGAAUUAGCAAACUACAGCAGUAACGAGGAGAAAAGUAUUACUCUCAGAACCUCCAAUCCAGAAUGCAUAUUAGAGGAUAAAGUUAUACGUUAACAAUCUUCCACUUUCCGAAGCUCACCAUAAUUUGGUUUCUAACUGAGGCCAAUUUAAUAAAGUUCACAUCAACUGAAUAUAUAGUUGCUGCAUUAUGUAUAAAGUAGAAAAACUUCCUGACCCAACGCUUAAUACCCUCAGAGUACACAAUAUCACUUAGUCGGAACCUCAAUCCCUUUAUUUGGUUUGUGGGUAUGCCCCAAGUGAUGGACUUAUUAUUGCUUAAGGAACGGCAUAAUUAGAUUGUACUUCAGACUUGCGUAUUUAGUAGUACCCUCCAUUUUGAGGACUUAAGUUGCAGUCUUUUCUUCAGACAUAGCUCUCAUAAUAUAGUGAACCCUCCAUUUUGAGGACUUAAGUUACAUUCUUUUCUUCAGAUAUAGCUCUCAUAAUAUAGUAAACUACGGGAAAGAGUAGAAAACGAAAAAAAAUGGGUAAUGCCUUCAGGGAAAGAAACAAAAAUUACCCAUUACAAAGUCACCUCUUCCUUCACUUGUACUAUCCAGAUUCACUCCUACUUUGUCCAUUUGAAAACAGCCGACACAUAAAUGCUAUAUCGCUCCUGCAAUUUACAUUCAAAACCCAAUCAAGAUUGCGACUUUAUAAACACCCACAAAUUGUAUUGAACCAAUCAUUAGAAUUGAGCUUCAUUCUCUUCAACAAAACAAACUAAAAAGGCAAAACACCUAUAUAAGCUGAACUUGACCUUAUUUUUAGACAUUGGCUAUGAAACUUUAAUCGCAAGUAAAAGCUCAACUUAAUGGUUUCUUCAGUAUCAGUUUCCACUUUCUAAGCAGCAAAACAACAGAAACAAAACGGCCCAUAAAUAAAAAUGAUUGUAUUGGGAAAGUUAGUAAAGAAAAGCAAUAAUAACCUCAAUAAAAUUGAGCCCUUUUCAGCGGAGAGUGGAAGAACUUCCAAGAUUCCGUGUUUCAUUUUUCUGGAUAGCUCCAACUUCCAGCACCAAAAUUUGUAGGGGAUGUAGGGUUUUACACUUCAACGAGUGAGGUUUAUGUGCAGGUGAAGAGUAAAUUUCAGCCAAUUUGGGCCUCUAAAUUUAAUAUCCCAUCCAAUGUUUUGACACCAAAAAAAAGAUAAAAAUAAAAUACAGAGCCUGCAUUCGAGGUGUGAUUAUCACAAUUAACAGUGUCUAGAAGAGAGAUGCAAGUAUUUGACUUUUGAAGUGAAAAAAGAUUCAACAUUCCAACAGAGAUGAUAUUCGAUUUGUGGGAAAAUUUUACCAAAGAAAUAAGGAAAACGAUGUCUGAGCCCGGGUUCGAACUGGGGACCUCUAGUGUGUGAGACUAGCGUGAUAACCAACUACACCACCCAGACGAUUGGCCGAUUGCAUUCCAGAAUUUUUAAGCGACUAAACAUUUUUGGUGUGGAGAAUCAUCUUUACAAUUUUUUUUUGGGUAAUUAAGUAUUUUACAUGAUUUUAGCGCUGAUCACUGUCACAGGUCAUGUAAUGACCCAGGUACAAGGGCUGGUCCAAAUAAUUUUUGGACCGAAAUUCAUUAGCCCAAAAUGGUUAAUUCAAAUUAUUCAAUAAUCUAAUUACCCAAGUUUUUAUACACAUUCCAUUUCUCUUCCUUUACCGAUGUGGAAUACUACAUUCUCCUCACCUUUUAGGAUUUUGCAUCCUCGCACAACCCAUUAGUGUGACGCCCCCACUUCUCUCAAGAGCGAACCCGAGGGUAUCGGCGGGAUGCCUGCCUAACUCGCGUCAGGAUUCAAAACACAAAACUAAUAAAACUAUAGAAACCAAAAGAGUACUAUUCACAAUAUAUUCAAUCCCAAAAGGGUAUUUACAUCCUCAAAAGGAGUUAUCGAGACUACUACAGAACCAAGAGCAAAAGUAGACUUGAAUACGGGUUCUUUAUACAGAUCACCAAAAUAAAAGAAAUAUCUUAGUUGUCCAACCAUUACAAACCAAACCUAACUACACUAGUGAUAGUACAAAAGGGUUCCCCCGAGUCGUCCCCUGUUAAGGAAAAUAAAGGAAAAGGGGUAAGCUAAAUGCUUAGUAAGUAAACGGGGGUAAAAGCGUAAAUUUCACAUUAAAAUAAACAGCUAUUUCAAAAAAAUGUCAAGUCAAAUGCAAAAGUAACAAUACAAAUGAAGGAUACAGGUUGGCUCCAAAGUCACGUCAUUUGCCAUGUGUGACCUCCUGCCGACCCUCCGUCGACCAUACUUAAGGUCCGUAGAACUGCACUUGUACACCCACCUAAUACCUUAUCACCCUCACUGGCCAGUCACCUCACAAAAUUGCUCGAGCGAAUGAAAUUGAGCUUGGUUCACAAACUCGGUUCACAAACUUGGUUCACAUUCUCGGUGAACCGGAUUCACAAACUUGGUGACCUCAAACUAGGUUAGACUGGUUUCGACCAAGCCCCGACUGGUUCGAAUAGUCCAUCUAGGUCGGAAGAUCAACCCCAACUUACAAACGACACCCCGAGCUACAAGCUCAAGGGGUUCAAACCCAAAAUAAUUCAUUUAGACAUGUCAUGUAUAAAUAUGCAUGUAAAUUAGGGUUUAGGUCGAGUGCGAUGAAUUACACUCUCGCCUAGGUACCCUUUUAUUCACCUCAAAACACAUAAGCAAGUUAUAUACAAAACGGUCCGAAUACUUACUCAAAAAAUAAAGAUAGCAAAAGUACGAAAAUCGCGUCGCGAAUGAUAGCUAGUAGGCCCCACCGGCUCCGUCUAACUCACCACCGUCUGAAAUAAAAGAUUGCAUCACAUUAUAUCACAAACGGCUACUAACAUGCCUAAAACAAGCAAAACGGCAAAAUUGGCACAUGCAUGUGCGGAAUCGGCAAACGGAAACGGAAAUGGCAGCAUAACCGUUUCGGUGUCAAAAAUUGUUUUGAACACAAAUGAAGCUACGAGUAUCGGAUCAAAGUGCAUGAGGUACCGUUACAAAGUUAAGAGGAAGGGUUACAAUUUUCAUGAAGACACCUUAAUUUAGAUCUGAAUGGAAUUAUGGAAAACAGUACCAGAAGUUUGCACUUUAGGGUGACGGACAGGGUCUGUUUGCCGGACCAUAACUCACAGCUCACAAAUUCAAAUUAAGAAAUUCCAAAGGCGUUAGAAAACUAUGUCAUAAUGCUAAAACUUUUAUGUUUUGGCCAAAACCUGAAUCAAUACAGAGCAGGGUGAAAAACGGGUCCAAAGUUCCUGUCAGAACUGUCCAAAUUCAAAGGCAGUUCUGACAACCGAUCUUGUUUUGGUUAUAACUGGAGCUACGGAACUCGGAUUUGGACGUACUUUAUACUGUUUCGAAGCUAAAACCAAGAUCUACAUUUCUUAUGUAGGGGUCAACACCCAGUUCGCACGUUAUCCAGGUGAACCGAGCAUGACCAGAGGCUAAAACCAAAAGCAUAACACAAUCCAGUGUUCAAAACAGGUGCAAGUAUUUUGGCUAUAACUCUGGUUACACUGAUCCGUUUGAUCUGAAAUUUUGCAGGCACAUUAAGGACUUAAGAAGCUACAACUUUCAUGUUUUGAGAAACCUCUGAAUCCAUAUACAGCAUAAAGAAAAAUAGAACCCAAGUUCGGAUUUGUGGACUGCCCUGUUUCCAGUUUUGCCGGUUUCGAACGUCGCAACCGCACAGUCCGUUUCUAUGGUUCUAAUACAAACUUUCUAGCCAAACUCAUACCAAACAAUACUACCUAUACCAGAUUCUAAAAGACCUACCAAUGGUCCGAAAUUUCUUCCCCAAAUUACCACAAAAAUUACCAAACACCAACCACAAUCUAGAAUCCAAUUUCACUAGUUUUUCACUCAAUUCAAAAACCCUAACCAACUAAACCCUAACCAAUCUAAACUAACUUCCAUUUAUAUUAGGGUUUCAUAACCAAACCUGAUUUUAUUAAGAAUUCACCAUUCAAAUGAGAUAAUCACACCAAAAGUCCCAUUAUCAAGUUUAAUCACCAACCCAAUCAACUAAGAAAACCUAUAACAAGAAGCCCUAAUUUCUCUUGGUUUGACCGAAAUUUCAGCAGCAAGAUAUCACCAAGAUGAACCAUUAAACUCUAUAUAAUCACCAUCUAUAUCAUAUAAGAUCAUAAAAACAACAAAAGCAUCACUUUUCAUGGAUUCAAGACUUAAACACCAAACUUUAACUUCCAAGAGAGAUGACUUACCUUCUAGUUGCAAGUUUCUUAGGUUGAUCUUCCAAAACUCAAGCCCCAAGUUGUUCUUCCAAGAUUCCAAACUCAAGGUUGAUGAACACAAAUGCAAGAAACAAAAGCUUUUCUCUCUCUUUUUCUUUCUCUCCCUCUCGGCUCUCUCUCUCUUUCUUUUCCUUUGGUUUGUUUUGUUUUGUUUUAUGAUUAUCUUACAAAUCCUAUGGUAUAAUAUAGUCAAAGCUUAUGGAAGAUAUUUUCUACUAUCACCAAUCAUAUAAAAGCUCCCAAUUUGCUCUCAAGCCCUUACACCUUCAACUUUGCAUUUGAUCCACUCUUGCCCUUAAACAUUUGGAACUCUUUCAAUUUAUUCCAUAGGUUAUAAACUUAAUCUAGUCCAAAACAUGUAAUCACACUUAAUUGCUUCACUAAUCACUUUUCUUUCUUAAUCACCUAUACUUAAUCAUACCUUAACUCACAUAAAAGCAACUAAACAACAAUAUUUUUGUCGUAGGCAAAAUUAGGGUUUUAAAUCCAAUUUAAAAUCUUAACAAAUCAUAACACUAGAAAUUUUUUCUAGUUUAGGGUUUUCCUAACUUCUAAACUCACUUAACCUAUAUAAAAUGGAUCAAAUUCUAUACUUACCCGCAUGAAAACACACACUAAUAUAACUAACUUUAACCACCACUCGAAUUUAGGAUUAGUACAAAAACUAGGGUUUCAAUCCUAACCCCAACUCAGGGUUUUCUAAUUAACCCUAAAACCCCAAAUUUUACCGCACAAAUAAUGAAUAUCACCUAAUAUCAAACUUAAUAACUGACCGGGGUCUGACAAUUAGUAUUUAAACUUUUCACUUGGUCACGUUCGGAUACUAGAGGUGCCCCCUGUCGAACCAUAACCCCCUAUUAUGGCCCAGUCUCACCUCACGCAGAGAUCACUGGAGAUUCGCGUGGAUACCAACUGUAAUGACCCGCAUCCAAGGGUUAGCUCAAAUAAUUUUUGGAUUGAAAUCCACUGAUCCAAAAUGGUUAAACCAAAUUACUCAAUAGCCUAAACACCCAACCUCUUAUACACAUUCCAUUCCUCUUCCUUUACCGACGUGGGAUACUACAGGUCAAGACAUGCAUUCUGAACCAUAAGUCAUUUAUAGGAUUCUUACAGAUCAUCUAUCAAUACAAUCCUCUUAUAUAGAUAAUAGAUUGUUCGAACAUACGAUCUUUUGUAAGAAAAUAACCCGUUCUUACUAAUUAGUCAGCUUGUAUUUGCUUCAUAAAGUUUUUGGUGCUACUUUAAUUUUGUACCAGAGAAUUGAGAAAAUAAUUGUGUACUUAAAAACCAACAGAUGUCGUGUUUUUGUUAUCUAUUCUUUAUUGACAUGUUAAAAUUUCUCAUGAAUCCAACUAGUUAAACUCCAGUGCCUAGAUUCGCAAUCAGAAUUGUUUCUCUAUACUUCCUCAAAAAAACAUAAGAGGUUUGGCUAUGGGCUACGAUGGUUGCGACGUUGAAAUCUUUCUCCUCACGCGCACGCAUCAAAUAUUGUUGACUCAAAUGGCUUGCAUUACGUUCAAUUAUUUUAAUUUGUGAUGCAUCCCAAUUAUUAUUAUUUAUCUUUUCUAAAAAUGUAGAACACCAGUAGGCAAUUCAGGUACAAGAAGCAAUUGCAUUUGGAAAUUGGAAUAUUUGACCGUGUCAAACCACCAAAUUCGUGCAACAAUCCAAGAUCAAAAGCCAAUCUUAUAGGAUUUCUCAUUGAUCAAGUGGCUGAUCCAUUUUCAUUGAUGUUAAACGCUCAAUAGCUUAUAAUGCAAGUGAGAGAAAAGAAUGAAAAUUGAGAAGCAACAUCACAAGUUGACAACUUUUUUUUUUUUUAAAAAGUUGACGACUAUUAUACUGACUUGCUGGAAUAAGCAAGUGAAGAUGGAGGAUUCUUUAACUUCGCAAGUCUGCAGUGCUUCACAAGGUCAUUUGUCCAAAGUGUGGAUAGAGUAUUAUUUGAAAUAUUAUUUGGAAUAGUUACUGUAGCACUUUUUUUGAUGUGAUGUAUGUGAGAUAAAAAGGUGAUUGGGAAUAUAAAAAGGUGAGUUGGAAAAUGUGUUUAUGAUGCAAGCGAAAUAUUAUUUGGGAUAAAAGCACUAUCCAAACAGUCAUUUGCUCGAGUACAUUGAUAGAAUAGUAGACAUGAUGUUGGCUAAACUUUGGAUUGUAGUUUUCUGCGAAAACCUUUUAUGUUUUUCGUAAACAUAUUUUUCAGUUAGCUUUUUAUUUCACAUACACAUUAAAUUAGUAUAAUACAUUUUUCUACAAAAACUCCUAAAGAUAGUAAGCUCUUACUUUUCUACAUAUUUUAAGUUGGGAUGAAUUUCCACAAUCUAUUAUUGUAAACAAAUAGUAAGAAAAGAAAAACUCUUGGAUGGAUGAUGCUAUUGGCCCCUCAUGGCCUGGGCAGCUCGGUUGGUCUCAGCAAACCUCCUUAGGAGCUGGUGUCUAGUGUCCGCAAGGAUUCGAGUCCCGUGGUUAACGUGUUCGGGGGGAUGGGGCCUCUCCUCCCGGGCCGGAGUGGGAUUAGUCGGGCCCCGUAAGGAUUGACCCGGACAUCCACUCCGUCAGAAAAAAAAAAAAAGGAUAAUGCUAUUGGUUCAUUGAAUAUACAUAAUUAUCAUGGAUGCAUGGGUGGUGCAACCAAUUUCAAGAAACUGUUGAAUCACCAAACCCUUGCAACGUUGGAAGAUCUCUAUGCACUGCAUAGGGCUCCUCAUUCACAUGUUGCCCAUUUUAUUGGUUUUCUAAGUGAGAAAAUUAGAGGGAACAUGACAGACCAUGAGACAAACUACCGAUCUAUUUUAAAUAUGAAACCGAGGCUAAUAAUCUCUAUUAAUCAGAGAGUUGUGUCAUUUGCUUGAACCUAUUUUCAUAUAUUUUUUUAUAUUGACCUUGAAUUUUGCCAAGCUGGUGAUAAUAUAAUAUAAUCCCAUUUGGAUCUCGAAUUCUUAAAUAACGUAAGUGCAGAUUAGUAUAACAAAUCAUGUUCAGAAGUUUAGAUUAGACUUCCGUUUGAUAUUAGUUUCGGCUCAGAAAUCUUCAUCCUUUCCAGCUAGAACUAGAAAUAUGGACUCGUUAUUAAAUUUUUGCACUCAUCUGCACGAAGCAGCAUGAUUUUGUGUGCAAAACAUAACCCAAAAUAAUCGGGAAAAGGUUGGUAAGAUUGGAAAAUUUGUAAGUUGAAGGUCUAGUUCAAAAUCUCCUGCUUAAAAAAAAAAAAAACCAAAAUAGUUGGGAUAGACUAAUGAAGAAUCUUGUGUUCUCAUCUUAAGUUUUUAAAGGUUUAUUGAUCUUUAAAAAAAAGGUUUGUAAAAGUUUAAACUUCUACCGGCUAAUUUUGUACUCUCUUUUUAUUCUUUUCCUUCUAAAAUAUUAAAAAAUAUUUGCUUGUAUUACAAACACGAUUCGCAAUCUACCUUUCUAUUUUCUAAUUACUUUUUUAUCUCAUAUAUAUCACAUCACAAAAAGUUCUACAGUAGUCGAAAUUGUUACAAUCUAAGGAUAAAUAAUGAUCAUUUGCUCAUCAAAUGAUGAAUUUAACUUAAACAUAUUAUACAUAAAAGGGCAUGUAUAAUCUACCCAAAAUUUGUGGUGGUUGACUUGUAUUUGGAUAGCCAAUUUUGCCAAAUAAUAUUUCGCUUGCAUCGUAGUCAUAUUUUUCACUCACUUUUUUCUAUUUUCAAUCAUUUUUUUUGUCUCACAUGUAUCAUAUCACAAAAAAUGCUAUAAUAAUUAUUUCAAGUAAUAUCUCAAACAAUUUCCCAUCCAAACACAAUUAUAUCUUAAUUAACUGGUGCCCUUGGUGAUUUGGUGUUUAGAUACAUGUUAUAAACAAUUAACCCACGUUGAGAAUCGUAGUUGUCAUUGGAUAAAGGGAAAAAAGGACCUUUGUUAACCCGGUAGGUAACCUCUCGCAUGCUUGGACAACCAGGACAUUGAUUAAUUUUUUCCUCGAAAUGUGAAGAGAAUUUGUAGUUUAAUUGUUUAAUUGAGUCUAGUUAUUUACGUUCAAGUUUCCUUUUAAUUAAUCAAUCAAAAGCAGUCUCUCGCUUCUAUUAACUCUUAUGCCUUCAUUUGAAUUAUUUUUUAAUCAAUAUAAAGUAACUUAGUUUGGAAAAUAUAUACAUGGAGAUAAGUAAAUACAUACAAUGACAGUCAAUGCAUAUUCAAUUGAAAUAAGUAGUUUAACUAAUUUUUACAAGAGAAUUUCACCAAUAAAUUAAAAAUAUCAAAAUUCUACAUGGCAAUUUAUCAUUUCAAAUUAAAUAAUUUUUUGAAGGAUUUUUCUAAUGUACGCCUAUUAGGCACUUGUUAACAUAUCUAAAUUCCACAUAAUCUACCAUGCAUAUAUACAUACUAAUAAUAAUUUUUUUUUUAUAUUUAUACACUUUUCUAAUUAAUCUAACCUUUCCAAAAAACUAACACUGAAGUAUUUGCAUGCCCAUUGGACACCUGAUACACAGACUCUUUUUUGAAACGCAUACAUAUUCCUGUAUUCAAUUAAUGUGUCUAUUCAAUAAAGAGUAGGAAAGAUUAAUCCUUCAUUAAAUGGGAUACCUCACAAAAAGUGAGGGUAACGAAGUUUCCAAAUAAGUGGGGUUUCCCAAAAAUACAUGAUGGUUACCUUGGGACAUCCUAAGAAUUCUUUUCGAGUCACAGUUGUUUUCAAAGGAAGUUGAAAGUUGAAAGCCAGAUACCACCACAACCUUGUUUCACAAGAAUCCCUCCUCUCAGUCAUAUGGCCGAUUCACCUCCCUUACUCUCAAAUUCUGCUCCAAGUUCUGAUCUUGCUAACAACGGCUUCAGGUGGUCCCAAGUAUUACAAGUCAUUCUUAUUUCAAUGACUUCCUUCUUUGAAGCACAACAAACUUUUAUCACAAUUUUCACUGAUGCUAAGCCCUCAUGGCACUGCACACAAACUGCAGAUGCAAUCUGCAAUUCUCAAUCCAAUAUUUGCCAACUUCCACCAGGUUCAUGGCAGUGGGACAAACCAGCCAGUACAUCCAUCAUAUCUGAAUGGUCCCUCCAGUGUACAAGCAGUCAAGUUGUUGCUGGCCUACCAUCAUCAUCUUUCUUCGUAGGAAGCCUGCUUGGUGGACUUAUUCUCAGCUUCCACCGUGACUCUCUUGGUCAGAAGAAGCUGCUAGUCCUUUCAUGUCUUACCAUGUCUAUUGCUUCUGUAUCGAUUGCUUUCUCCAGGAAUAUAUGGGACUCCUCAGUCUUGAGAAUGUUAAGUGGUUUUGGCCAUGCAGCGAUUGGAUCUUGUGUCCUGGUUUUGUCAACAGAAAGUGUAGGAAAGGAGUAGAGAAGUCAGGUGGGAAUAAUAGGAUUAUUCUGCUCUAUAUUUGGGUUUUUGUCUUUGCCUACAAUCGCAUAUUUUGAUAGAAGUUAUUCAUGGAGGACUCUUUACUUCUUAACGUCUAUACCUGCAACUAUUUACAGAAUGGUGAUACAAUUCUUUGUGUACGAGCCAGCAAAAUGGCUACUACAACAAGGUAAAAUACCCGAAUCUCUAGCAGUUCUCAAUAUUGAUAUAGAUCCCAACUCCAAUUACACCUUGAGCUUUUCCAUGAUAUUCUAAUCAAAAGCGAAGGCAGAAGGUAGACAGUGAUCGGUCACUUAUGGGAACUUUGUUGAAGGACAGAUAUAAUUUUCAACAGUUAACAUUGGCAAUGCUUGUUGGAUUUGGCAUUGGAGUCAUUUACUAUGGCAUGCCAGUAGGUGUUGGCAACUUGGAUUUUGAUCUCUACCUCAGUAUUGCUUUUAACGCCAUGCUAGAAAUACCAUCUGCAGUGAUGAUCUACUUGGUAAAAUGCAGGCACAGAAGUUUACUUCUGGCAUUAGCCACCAUUAGUUGUGCUUGCGGCAUUACGAGUAUCAUGGUAGGAAGAGGACUGCAAAUAGGGCUAGAAGUCACGUCUUUCUUCAGUUCCUGUGUAGUUUUUAACUUGUUGCUAAUAUACACAGUAGAGCAACUCUCCAUAAGCACGAGGCUCUCAACUCUAUCGAAGGUAUGGCAAGCCAUAAUGUUAAGUGGUGCAAUCAGUCCGCUAGCGAUUGCUGUAGGAGGAGACUCCAUCAAAAUUCUACUACAUCUGUUUGGAGUAUUAGUAUUGAUUUUAGGGUCAUUGGUUAUAUUCCUACAGGAAACUAGUAUGAGCGGAACCCUUUCGGUCACAUUGGAUGAGCAACAGCAAGAGCAAGAGAAGGAGCAUGAUGGAUCAAAUUUGUGUAUUCAAGUAUAGACUAUGUAAAAAUUCAUCUGAGUAUAUUUAAUUUUGUGGCAUUUGUUUUCUGCCCUUCUAAAAUUCACAUGUUAGAAUCCUAAGAGCAACAAUCAUUUUGGGUCUCUCUCCAAGUGAAUUUAGGUAAUUACAGAGCAGAAAUAACAAAGUUUCUUAAUUACAACCAGCACCGAGCACUCGAGAAAGUGUCUGAAUUAAUUCACCAUGUGUUCUCACUACAUGGAAGAAAUGGUGAAAUGCAUUCUACAGAUUUUCACUUUAACCUUUGUCAAAGUACUCACUCUACAAGCUUAAGAUCCUACAUCUCUUCUGAUUUGUGACGUCAUAAUUAAAGGGCACAAAUGGCCUUCAUUUCUGCAAUUGCCAGUCUAUUAUACAAAAAAGAAGGAUUGCAAUUCUUUUUUCUCUUGAAGCCUACUCGCUAGUCACUGCCACCUUUUAGAAGGCUUUACCUUGGAGGAGCUGCCAGUUGUGGCCUUUCUAGAACCUAAAAACACCAUUAAUAGAAGAAGAAAUUCAGUGAAUAUUUUAAUUUUUAAAUUGCAGGAAAUAGAAAAUUAGAUAAAUGGUAAACAUAAGAUAGCAGGUCAAUUUAACAAAAACUCCCUCUGAUUCCAAUAAAUCAAUUCCUCUGCUUUCACAAACUGCUUCUGGUGAAGCAAAAGUAUUGAUCAAAGGGGUACGGACGUUGGUAGAGUAUGAUGCUCUUACCUGCAACUUUUGACGAGCUCUUUGUGGAAGACAAUUGAGAAGAUGCUGUACGCGAAUGCUUCUGCUGCGGUCUUGGAAGUUUAGAUGGCACAUCGGGCCUGUAAUUAACAAUUCACCAAGGUAGAAAAGGCAAAGGAGAUAGCAUCAGAAACUUGAAUUAUAUAUAGUAGCAACAUUUGGAAAAGGUCAACAUAAUUAACAUCUUGCAUCAGUAUAAUAGAAAAUAAAAAAUGCAGCUGAGAGGAAAAUCUUGAUAGGCUAUUUAUAAUAUAUUUAUCAGGAACUUAAGACUUAUUCUUCGACUAAUAAUUAAAACUUUUUGGUAUACCAGAAAAUUAUACAUUAGGGCUGAUUGGUACUCAUUUGUAUUCGGUAAAAAUGAAGAGCACAAAGUAGGCAAACUCACUUUUCUGUGCCCUCUGCUGGUGGUUUUGCAGUUUCAGGGAAAAGUGUAUACUCUACAAUACUAUUGAUGGAACCAUCAGUUUCUGUCCCCAUCGAGAGAACACCAUCAGAUAUAUCACUUAAUCUCUCUUCAGAAUCUGCCUCUCCAAAGCCGAAAAGCUCCACAUCAUCGAAAAGGUUUUGAUUUCCCUCUGUUACCACAUGCUUUGAUUCCAAGUCCUCUCCAAAAUUUUGCCCUACAUGUGCUACAGCAAGCCUAGAUUGCUGAAAAAAAUCUUUAUGAUGCUUUAAGUCAUCCAAAGACUGCUGCGAACCAGCUUCAGAAUGCUUAUCACUGUACUCGGAGCUAUUGUCUAAAUCAGAAGUAGCUUUCACACCAAAGCUCUUUGCUGCUGAUAGUCUACGACUUUGUUGUGAAGUUCCUGCAGAAUGUCUUCUAGGAGAGGCUGACCCAUAUCUUUGAGAACUCAUUCCGAGUCUCUCACCAGUUGCAUUAACUUUAAGCCGUAGACGUCCAAUUUCCUCAUCCUUCUUUGCCAGUGAGUCCUUCAGGAAAGCCACCUGGAUAAUAGACAGAUCAAUCAAAGUGCAUGAAAUUAUGUAGUAAACCUUGAUACUGAUAAUAAAUAAAAAUGCUACUGGCUUCAAAAUAUUUACCAAAACAGAACAAUUAUCAAUUAUAAUCAAAUGUCAUUAAAACAGCAUUUAUCUGAAGAAAAAAAGUGGAACAUGUAACUUCAAAAGGAGGUUAAAUUUUGAGCCAUGUUAUGUGAGAAAUGGUGUUACAAUAGCUCUAAUGUUAUGAGACACAUUAUAAUAAACUGAAUCUUUCUUUUUAAAUUCUCCCAGAUGGCUUCAAAUGGUUGUCUGCUAACGACCAUGCCCUUCGAUCAGUUCCAGAGUCGAAGAAAAAAAAAAACUUGACCUUGUUAUCUUGUUUCAAUCUCAAGAACAACCAAUCCUCUCUGUAAAGGCAUGUAAAGCAUUUCAUUAUCCCAUGAAGGUUGAUCUGACGUUUCUGGAACUUUAAACCACACACAGUGCUGGUGCCUAAAUACAUUCCAAACCACUUGUUUGCUCACUAUGACGCAAAGAAAAUAAACUCAAGCCUGGAUUAUAGUCACUGGAUCAAACGAAUUAUAGUUCAAUCUUGGAAAGCCACCACGCUCGGAAUCCACAUCUUCAGUAACUUUCACCAUAUAACUCACACAAAAUUAAGAUAAACAUUUCAGUCAAUUUAGAGAAAGACUUAUCGCCAGAGGAUUUUUUCAUAUCCAGGACCUAGAUAUAGGUGUAAAAACCCAAAUACUGUGAGAAGGCAUCAGCAGUUAACAAGUUGUCAACUGACACGUGCACUUGCAAAAAAUUAAAAAAAUGACAGUUUAUAAAACAUUGCAAUACCUGUUCCAUUAGUUCUCUGACACCCCUACCCUCUCUAUUACUUCGUGCAGCACCCAGCUCAACACCAGAGACCCUUUCAGCAAACUUCAGUGUGCUUACAGUCUCAGAAUAAGAUUCUACAUCAGGAUUAAGUUGUACAAACAUGAUAGUCUUUGCUUGGCCACCUGCAUAAAGCAGAAAGGCAUAAAGCAUACCGACAAAUAACAGAAAGAGAAUACAAAAACUCAAAAUUGUAAAAAGAGAAAACACCCUGCGAAGUUGUUUGCAUACCUAAAGAACCUUGAAGAACUUGAGUUAAUUUGCUAUUCCUAUAAGGCACAUGAGAAUUCUUCUGUGCCAGAGCAAAGAUCACAUCUCCAAGAGCAGAUAAAGACUUGUUUAUAUGUUGCGCCUCCCGCAGUCGAUCCCCUGUUGCUUCAGAGCGAUCUACUCUUUCACUCCCAGCAAGAUCAAUGAGAUGCAGACAACCACGCAAGACAACAUUGGUCUCCAAGUCUGUCCCACGGACAUGCACAGUGAGCACACUGCCAUGAAUGAAUUUUAGUCAAUUCACACCCAUAAGCAAAAUCUUCAAAAAGAGAAAAAUGCAAAAACAGUGUCUGAAGAAACCUGUGAGAUCGGCUGCUUCUUUCAUUAAGGGCAGUAGCACCAACAGCCCUAUUCAUUAACCCAAUGUUCAUUAAUUCCAAGACAUCUGAAGUUGAUUGAACAGUGUGCAUACUAGCAUCAGGAACAGCUAAGCCAUUUGGUUGUGCGGUAUUCCAAAUCCCCAGUGUGUGCAAGUCAAGGAAACCAAGGAGGAAUGUGUAACAUAAUAAUGCAAACAUUAAUUGAGCAGCAUGUAGCAGAGUUCAUGAAAACACAAUAAUCCUCCAAUGAAAGAAAUAGUAUAAACAUAUAAAAAAGAUUUCUAUACUGAAUGAAGAGAAAAAGAAGUCAGUCCUCCAUAUUCCAUAUGGUGGAAAAGGAUAUCUCUUCUGAGUACUUUCAUUGCACAGCAAGUCACGAACUUGUUCAUUAUAUAUCUCAACCAUUUGCACGCCUAUUUCAUAUGUUAUGGAACUCUUCCUAAUUUGAGAAAUCUGGAACAAAUCAUUCAGAGCCCGAUAGUUGACCCCCCAAUCUUCAACAGCUGAUACACCAGGCCCGCUCUAUAAACAGAUACAAAAUGCAACACAUGUUUUCAAAAAAGAGCACAUACCAAAGAUGAUGUUUGCAUACUCUUAUUAUGAGGCAUACCAUAGUAUAGGUCUUCCCUGAGCCAGUUUGACCAUAAGCAAAGAUGCAUACGUUGUAGCCAUCAAGAACGGAUCUGAUUAGUGGUUGGGUAUCAAGAAACACCUCCUCUGAACACACAGAAAAAAUGAGAUAAUUAAACCAAUAUAAAUCAUGUUUUGAAAACUCACACUAAAUUAAAGUUCAUGUGUGGGAUUAAUUUGGAAUCCUUAAAACCUUGAGUAGCCGCAGGAGCAAAGACCUUAUUGAACUUGAACAGGCGAUGACCGUCUUUUCCUGGUUUUAAAGGAUUCGUAACAACCAAUUCUCCAUUCUCACCAAUAUAUUCUAUGGUUGUUUGUUUUUGACUUUGUCCUGGAAGGAAUGGCCUCAUUCGACAGUAGACUCUAAUAUUACCUAGAACAAACAUAAGUUACAUGAGCUAGAAUUUGCAUUCCGGCUUGGCAACCCCAUUGAUUAAACAAACCAGAUUUAUAACCUUUCAAAUCUUGAACCUCAUUAUACAACUUCCUAUUUUCUGCAAGGACUACAUGGUAAUUCUGAGCUGCAUCUACCAAUCCUUUCAGCUCCCAACCUGAUCAAGAUUAAAGAUCUAUCAUGUGAAAAAAAAAUAAAAAUAAAAGCUAAGCAGACUGCAGAAACAUAUUCUCAGGAAGAGCAAACAAGAAACACUUUACUCCUUACCAAAGUGAUUGAUUUCUUCCCGAUAUGUUUUUUGGGUCUUCAAUACCUCUUUCUUUAUGGACUCAGAAACUGCUCUCAAUUCCUAAGCAAGUUAACAUGAAUUACGCGCAAUACUAGAGAAGAUAUUAAUUGAAGAGCACACAAAUCAGGAACGCCAGCUUAGUGGUCAAUGACUCAGCACGAGCACUAAGUGAUAUUCUCCUUUUCUUACACCCUUGCCAUCUUUUAGAGAUGGGAACGAUAAUGAAAUGAUUGUCAAGUUAAAGUUAAUGCAAACCUGCAGAGCUCCAGCAUGAGAAUCUAUGAAGUCCUUGAAGCCAUGUUCUUUUCUUCUCCAUCUCAAGUAUUUUGAUUCUGAAAAAGCUUCGAGUUCUUUGACCUUCUUCCUUGAGUCAUUCAGAAGGGACUCAGUAUGCUUUAGUUUCUUUUCCAACUCAGCUUUAGUCUCCAUAGCUUGUGUUACCAGUUCUGCACAACUCUUUUCAUAGGACUUCUUGGACAAUUCCAGCUCUUGCUUGAGCAAUGACAUCCCAAUCUCGUACUGGUCCUUUUGUCUCAUUAACCUUAUUACAUCUUGCUCUUCUACCUUUCUCUUUUCAUCAAUUUUCAACUUUUCAAGCUGAGAAAUCCACAUAAAGAAAAUAUUGGUCGCAGUAGAGAAAAAUUUAUCUAAUUGACAAAAUAGUACAAUUACCCUAACUAUCCCAUCAAUGACAUUCCAGAUGCUAAUUGAGAACAUAUCAAAAGGAAAACUAUCAGUACUAUGUGCAUAUCAUUUUCCAAUGCUGAAAACACUUAAUUGACAGACUCAAUUCUCUGGAUCUAGAUUCAGACAUCCAGUAAGCCCAUUCAACUGCAUUCUUGUGAGUUGUAAGGAAAUAGUCAUCCCACUUCAAUAUUAAUCUGGAUUUUGAUGUAAAAGAAUUUUCUUACAUUAGAAAUUCAAGCAGCCAAUGUUUUAGUCUAAUGCAAUUCUUAUGUAAAAAUGAACCAUAAACAUUGUUGAAGCACUAAGUCAAAUCCCAAAGGCACUGGAGAGUUUCCAGAAGCAAAGGAAAGAAAAUUUUCCAUGGUGACAAGAAUACUAAGGCUCAGAACAUAUAAAACUGAAGAUCUGUAAGAAUAAAAAAGGCACAUGCAAAGUACCUAGUCAUUCCCCACGUCAAACUUUGAACAAGAAUAUAAUGCAUAUACUAUUUGGAUUCACUAAUAUUGGCAAAAGAAAAAUGACAAUGAGAGCAAUUCUUAAAGCCUAGACAUGUAUUACAUCAUAGAUGAAUGGAUGAGGAUGACAAUGAUAGCUAUAGCUCUAGGAAUUUCAGAGGAAAAGAAAAAAAUAAACUCAGCAGUAAGCAGGCAGAAUUAUAUGGACUGACAUCGUGUUUGAAGAGGAUGUGAUAGGGGCAGGCAUUGUGCUAAACUAUGCCUAACAGGUAAGACACAAGGCAAGCAAACUGUGAUGACAGUUCUCAAAAGGCAUCAAAAUCCAAUUCUCCUUUCAAGUCACUUGUUAAGCCUAACAGUCCCUAUGACAGUGCAGAUAUAUCUGGCAUCCUUGUUUAAAAGAUACCAAGUCAAGUGCUUAUUGUGUACAAGCUUCUUCCUUUCAUCUCUUCAUGCUUUUCUUUGCGAGGAAGAAGCCAGUAAUGGAAUGAGUAUAUCUAUAAUGGUGCAUUUAUAAAACAUAACACAGAUAAAGGCUCUGUACUUCAUUUUUUUUCCUUUCUUUCAAGAACUCUAAUAGAAUUACUCAUCUAUCUUUUCUUUUCUUAUCAACGACUGGCAGAAGAUAGGAACUCACAACCCCAGAUUUAGCUGGAAAGGCAAUACAAACAAGGAGAAUGCUGUACCAUGCUCGUAAGUACAAGACACUAACCUUUAUCUUCUGAAGCUGGUUGAUCACAAUCUGCAAGCAGCAAAGCCACAAACAUGAAGUUGAAUGAGAAAUUCAAAAAGAAAAAUCCCAGGUGUUGAACACAUAAAACUUCUCAUACUACCUCAUUUUCUUCAGUUGUUCCGGUUGUAAGAGUUUCAAGUGCUCUAAUUUUAGACUGAUACUUCUCUUCGCGAGACUUGUACAAAUUGCUUUGCUGCAGCCAGAAUGACAUACAAACUCAUCAGCAAAUAUCGAAACAACAAGAAGAAACUCUUGCUGGGAAAGUAAUAAUUAAGGACUAACCUUUCUAAAACUUUCAGCAUGUUUUGAAACUCGCUGCUCAAUCUCUUGUACUACCAAUUUUAACAAAGAAGCUACACACUGAGAAAGGGGCAACAAACCGUCAGUUAUAACUUUGAAAAGAAUUUGACAGGAAAUUCAAGAAAAACUCGUGAACAAUAUGGGAAGAAACAUUCUUGCACUGGUAAGUUGCUUGCCACCUUCCAUACCUGAGGUAUGUCACCAUUCUUUCUCUCAAUGCUUUCGUCCAGGAUUGCAUUCACAACACUAAAAAGUGAUGGUGUGGAGGCAUUCUGCAGAAAAGUAUAGCUCAGAUUAUAAGAGAGCACAAGCUAUAUAGUCGAGAAAAUUAUAAAUGAAAUAAACGAGUGAAUAAGUUCCACUCUUUCCUGAUAGAGGAAAAGUGACGUCCACUACCUCUAGACUGUUCAGCUUCAUCAUUUCUGAAAUCCUAGCAGCUGGAAGGUCAGCAAAAGAUCCAUUCUUCAAUGGAAAGAUAUCAGAGAACUUACUCCCUUCAUGAUGAAUUGCUGCAGCUGAUAGUCCUGCAUGGGUGAAAGAGGCUGAUAGAAUUACAGGACAUGCAGAGAUCUCUAGCUGAUGUACCACCUUACCUUAUCCAUACAACUCCACUUCAUAUUGAGCUUAAAAAGUGCAAACCACAUAGCUUUCAAUAGAAAGCAGAGGAUCUAGGCUGACUCUUUAUUAUUAUUUUUUUUUUUAAUAAUGCAGGGCGGGAUUUAAAAAGCAGGGAGGGAGAAGGGGGGAAUUGAACCCAAGACCAUCUAAUUCCUAAAGCUUCAACCUUAGUCACCAGACCAAGCUCUUCGGCGAUCUAGGCUGACUAAUGGAGUUAAACAACGAAGCACUUUCUGAACGAUGUUUAGCAACCAUUAUAGAUGUAGAAAAAUUGUAAUGACCCAAAGAAAAAUAUUAAAGCAAAAGCUGUACUUAUUAGCUCAGCAGAGUGCAAUAGUUCCAAGGGACUUUAGGAUCCAGCCUGUCCAUACUUCUUGAGUUAUCACAGAUUAAUGUUGUUCUCAUAAUUUAGAAGAUGGGAAAAACGAUAAAACACAUAUGAUCAAGAAAAAUUGACGACUAACGUACCUUCAUAUGUACCUUUAGAGUUUUCUCUUCUUUCAGAGACAUCACCAUUGAGGAUUUCAUUCAAACUACCUGGAUCCCCAUUUUCAUUUUCAUAGACAUCCGAAUCUCGAUGCAUGAUAAUGUUGACAGCAGAUUUGGUAGAUAUAAUAUGGAACAACUCCUAGAAACGAAUAUUUCAGUGACAUCUUAUCAGAAAAACAGAACUUGAACUUCUCAAAAAAAGAAACACUGAUGAUAGGAUACACAUGCUAUCCCCGAGCUUUUGUGCACUCAUACAUAACAUAAAAGAUCACGUAAAGUGUCAUUCACCCACAGAGAAGAUCCAACUCAAUUGCUCAAUCUUAACCUAGGAAGGGAAGAUAGAAACCUAGAUAAAAAUCUUUACGUUUGAAGUUCUUGAUAAAUGCCGAGCAAUAGCCGUCAAAAACAAAUAGAAGAGCUAAUCUUCACUAAUAUUUUCAAGAUCAAAAUUGCAUCUGACCAAAAACAAAUUGAUGAAUGGGGGCUACUUAAAAAGGCCCACAGACAUGGCUUCUGCCAUUUACAAACAUCAAACUAUAUCAUACUCUCCAGCUGCAUAAGUUAGUGUUUUGUCCAUAAAACUUCAAAUAAAGCAACUAAGCUUCAUAAAGUUUUCCACUUUAGUAGCUACCGUUGUGCUUAUCCUCAAGCCCAUAUAACUACCCCCUUCUAGGUACUACAAUUAGUCAAGUUAGAAACUUUUCUUUAGAUUUUUCCUCAUUCACAGGUCUGAUUGGCUCAACUAUAGCUCAUAGUUUUCCAAUUCAAAUUCACAAGCACAUCCCAACCAACAAACUUUACAGCAUUGUGAAAGCAAGGCCAGAUCCAAAAUUCUCCCAUAGCCCUUAGCCACAAGAUUCCCAAGAUGGAAGCAAUAAACUUGUUUUCCUACAUUUUCAGCUUGCUUUUCGCCAUUUCUACACAUGCAUGAAUCCAAAUUCAGCAUUUUAUCAACAUAAUUUGCUCAUACAGAAGCACAUAAGCUCCAACUCAUCUCUAAAACAUUGCAGCUCAAAAAAAAAAAGGAAAAAGAUUUAAAAUCCACAAAAAUCAUGAUCAGAUAAAAGAAAAAAAAAGUCACCAUAAUCCACGUAAACUGCAACGCUUAAACGCGCGUAGUCUGUGAAUUCUGCGCGUCAUUAAACUCAUAAGAACUUAAAACUUGGUAAAAUUAAAGCUUAAACCAACGAUUAAUCCACAUUCAGCAAACAAUUAACAUUUUCAUAAACAGAAUUUAAAGCUUAAAAAAAAACUCAAUCUUGAACCGAUAGAUAAUCACAUUAAAUAUCAAGACUGGUUUCACAAAUUAUAAAAGGAAGGAAACCUAGAAAAAUGGUACGAACCUAGGAGUAGCGAAAUGCAGGAGAUCUAGAGGGAGAAAGCGAGAAUUGGAGCACAGCAGCGCUUGGGAUACAUACAGAUCGGUGAAUGCAUCAAAAAAUGUAAAAAGAAAAAGAAAAAGAAAGAAGAAACAGCUUUUGGGGAAGGUGUAUUUUAGAAGUGAAGAAAAGAGGAUUGCGUAAUGAUUAUUAUGUGGAAAUUUGAAUUGACAUUUGACAAAUAAGUCCUGAUUUGUGGGAAGGUUCUUGGGUUUUUAAUUGGUUGGGUUGGGUAAAGCAAAAUGAAGCUUUUUUAUUUUUCUUUAAAGGAAAAUGAAGCUUAAAACUCCAUCAAAAGAAUUUUUUUUUUUUGUUAAAAAAAGUUCAAAAUAUUUUACUCCUAUCUUUUUUUUUUAAUAUCUCUUUGGUUUUAUUUUUUAAUAUAUUUUAAAAAUAAAUUUGCUUUGGUACGUGUUUUUGUUAAGGACUAAUGGAUUUUGCAGGUUUUGAAUCGUGGGGCAGCCUGGCCCUGGCCCCUUAUUUUGGACUCGUAUUCCCGCCUUCUACUGUUUGUUUGUUUCGGAGUGUUUUAAACAUAUGGCCGAGGUCGGAGCAGGAUUAGCUUCUGAAUUGGUCCCCCUCUAGUAUUGGGCUUUUCUAACUUUUCUUUUUUUUAAAAAAAAAAAAUUAUAUUGGAUUCAUUUAUAGUUAUAUGCCAAUAAUAACUGGUUUUUUGCUACAUUUAAUUAGUUUGCACAAGUUUGAAUAGUCCAAUUUUAUUCCUCCCAAGGGGUAGACAGACAAUAUGAUGGUGGUGAAAAGUUGUUCUACUGAAAAAUACAAGAGUGAUAGGAUUAAGAAUUUGCGUGGAUAGCUUAUUUUUUGAAAUAUAUAUUAAGAAUAUAUAUUGAUCGGGAAUAGCUUUAUUGGCCAACUUGACAAUGAAUGCAAGACUUUUUACUAGUUAAUACAGAUGAAAUCAAAUGAUCACGUAUAAUACGUGCUAUUCGUAUUGUUAGAAGAAAUUAUAUAGAUAUAUACAUGUAUUUUCAAAAAAGCAAAAAAAAGCUAUUCGCACACAUGAUUAGUGAAAGAUGAAAAAUUCAUUUUGUGAAAUGUGAGGGAUAAAAAAUUUAUUUUACAAAAUAUGAGGGACGAAAAAAUUUAUUUUGUGAAAUGUGAGAACCUAUGGAUCAAAUUAUGUGAAAUGAAAUUUGACAAUUUGACCCCUCAAAAAUGAUCACGUGCAAGGCACAUAGUGGAUUUCAAUAAAAAAAAUUAGUUGAAAACUUAAAUAGGGGAUCAAAUUUGACUGAUGUGAAUUUGUGAGGUAUAUAAAAUUAUACUUUUAAUAGUGAGAGACGAAAAAAAUCAUUUUAUAAAAUAUAAAGAACGUUUUGAACAAUUUUUUCCAAAUAAUUUUUAGCCAUCCUUUAUUAUUUUUUUUCACUUAGGAGUGCCUUGUCUCGAAGUUGGAGUGAAUGGCCCAAAAGGUCACUAAACUAUUGAAAAUGACACCCUUUGACCAUCAAACUUUUUUUGUGGCUUAAAAGGUCACUAAACUCACAAAAACGAGCUAGCGGAGUCAUUUUACCGAUUUUUAGCGGUUUCUCGUCCGGUUGCAUUGGCAAUAUGAAUAUCUUUUAAGGGGCAAAAAUUUUCAACAAAAUAUGGCAAACUUGUUUUUCCCUCGCAAACCGUGCCCUUAGAUCUAAAAGUUCAUUGAGUCUCUCUUUCAUCUAUUCAGAGAGAAAUCUUCUUUCUUCAAAAAUGAACACAAAAAGUAAAAUUAGUAGAGUUCACACCGAGUCCCAGCGGUUAAAUCAUCUGCCCCUUGUGCAGUCUUCAUUUUUCUUUGCUCAUACAAAAAAGUUUUAGUGAUCAAAUUACAAAACAAGUAAACAAAUUGAACUGAAUCAUUGGCACGCACCAGAUAAGUAAUCUUCUUAUAAGUUUCCCACGGCAUACUCGAAUCAACAUGCCCCACAAUCGGAACUUGCAACCAUUCAGCCUCCAAAAUAACCGAAGACUUCCUCUCCGUAUCGAAAAUCACCACACAAUCAGGAGCGUGAAUGGCUCCUAAGUUCAACUUCUUAUUCCGGCCGCGAAACUUUUUGGGACUCGAACUGUUUGUUAAAAAGCCUUCAAGACGCCACGACUUGUCAUUCUUAAUCCCAAUAGCUUUCGUCAUUUCCUCGCUGAUUUCGUCGAAAAGGGUGUUGGUGUUGACGAAAAGAAACUGCCCUUUUAACCUGACGAGGUUGCCGACGAAAUUGCAGGCGUUGCGGAGGCAAAUAAGAGUCUUGUCGGAGUCUAUUAUAGUCAUGGCAUUCCGAGAGCCACAAGAGUAGAUUUUGAAGUGGUGAGCCGCAAGAGUGGGGAAGAUGAAAGAAGAUUUGUCUAAUAGAUGAAAGAAGGGCUCAAUGAAGUUUUAGAUCUAAAGGCACGGCUUGCGGGGACAAAACAGGUUUGUCAUAUUUUAUUGGACAUUUUUGCCCCUUAAAAAAUAUUCCUCCACUCCACAUUGCCGGUGCCACCGGAUGAAAAACUGCUAAAAAUCAGUAAAAUGACCUCGCUAGUGCGUUUUUGUGAGUUUAGUGACUUUUUGGAUCACAAAAAAAGUUUGAUGACGAAAGGAUGCCAUUUUCAAUAAUUUAGUGACCUUUUGGGCCAUUCACUCCUCGAAGUUGCAUGCCGAACCAAUCACGGAUCUACUGGUAAUUAUAGGUUAUGGAACUAGCCGGAGGCACCAUCUUUUUUUUUUUAAACAAACAGUAACAUUUUAUAGAUAUUAACAUUUGAUAAUACAAGAGUUAAUUACAAAAAGUAACUAUUCAGUCGGAGGCACCGUCUGCUCUUUAUAUUUUGCCUUUUUUUUUUUUUUGGGACAAACCUUCAUAGGAAGACGGGGAAAGAGAUUCAUGUUAAGUGCUUUUCCGAUUUUGCCCCGAAAUCAAUUAGAGUGCACUACGGUUAAACUACUGUUCACCUUGCGACUGAGAAACGAUUUCCCCAGGCGAAUGGAGUCGGACGAUAGCAUAGCGCCGGAACCUGGGACCAAUGAGCAACAGCCACGUCACCAGAACUCCGUUUCUCCCAAAUUUAAUGAAGAAGAAGAAGAAGCAGCAGAAGAAAAUCCUGUCAAUAGGAAUGAGAAGGAAGAACCCAAAACGACCUCGUUUCCUGAAUGCAAGGAUGUACUCAAAGCAGUAGAAGUGGUGGAGAGAGAUUCGGUCGCGAUCGCUCAGAGCUUCGCAUCUCUCUUCGCUUCUCUCCGUUUAGCUCUCUCUCAGGUCCCCUCCAAUUCGUCAAAAGUUCUUUUUUUUCUUUUAAUUUUUUGGGUUUUAAUUUUAAAAUGGAAGUGAAUUAAAUUUAGUUGUUUUGCUUAGAUAUCAGCUUUCAUCUUUACUUUCAGCGACUGUGCAACAGCUUGAGAAACUCUUGGAAAUUAAUUGGAGCAGUUUCUUACUUUUCUCUUUUUUCUGGGAGGAAAGUUACAAUCUUUGUUGAGCUAACCCAAUAUAUAUAUACUGUAUUAUUUUUUUCCCCCUGAAUUGGAGAUAUUAUUUUGCAAAAAUAUAUAAUAAAAAAAGUCGUUGAUUUACUUUUUUUUUUUAUUGGAAAAAGUUAUUCAAUGCUGGAACAUAAAUGGCAAUUGGGCUGAUAUCCCAAUAGCGGAUGCAUCAUGCAUGCUCUAUAGUGCAGGAGGUCAGUCUUCAAGUCCUGGUGAUCCCCCUCCCUGCCUGAUGAUAAAGAAUAAGAAUGAGAAAUCUUAAACAUGAAUAUACAUGUUUAGUUGUUCAUGUGCUUUAUAUCGUCUUUCUGUGACUUUUUGGGAUUUUUUUUUAGUACAAAAGUUGUAGUUUGGUGUUAUUGAUCCAAGGUGUAGAAUGUAGAGCUUGCUAAAGUUGAUAUUUUUCGAUAAGCUUGUCAUAUUUGGGUUGAUAAAUUGAUUAUCAGCUGUGCAUAUCGUAGUAAAUUGGCUUCUUUCUUUUGUGUGUGUGUGUGUGUGUGUGUUUUUUUUUGAGUGAGAUUAUAUUUUCACUAGGUUACAAGAACUUCUGUGGAUCACAUGAGUUGCUUCAGUGAUGCAGCUGGACGUCUUCAAGAAUCUGGUAAAGCUCAAAGAACAGAUUUUUUUCCAGGCUAAAUAGAAUAGUUCCUAAUGAGAGACACGUGUCACUGUGCUUUUUCCAUGCUAUCUUGAAUAAAAGUUUAGCUACAUAAUUUGAUGUUUUUGUAGUUCUUGUUGUUUUUCUUUUCAUGACUUCUUCAGUUUUAUAUAGCCAAAACCCUUCUUGUCAACUGUUCAUUGACCAUCCAUGACCAUUAUGGAUUUCAUUGUGUUGAGGGAAGUUUUGUUUUCAAUGCCAUGCCUUCUUCUGGUCGUCCCAGUAUCUAGCCUCGUGUGCUGGGAUGCUUCCUUCUAAGGCAGCAAGGUCCAAUAUGGAAAAUGAAACUAAGCCACGGUUAAAUACAAACUUGAAGCAGAAGUAGCCAUAGCUCCUAACUACCAAUAUCGUGUAGGAAAUUCCACAAACUUAGGAUUCAAUUAUCAUCUUAUUUUCAUGUAGUUUGCAGGCAUAUCUAUUCCAUUUUCAUUGCCCAUCAAAUUGUUUGAACUUUCUACAAGCCUGGGGAGGGCAUCGACUAUCAGCAGCUAUCAAGUGCCCUCCCUGUUUUCCCUCUGGGGACUACAAAAAGCAUGGUCUUGUGAGUUCCUAAUAGGCAACAUUGGUCGUGAUUAUCAGCUAUAGAUUGUAUUUCAGGCUAACUCAUUUUCCAUGGGAGUUAUUCACUGAGAUCUGAGGUCGAAUAGUCAUUGCUUAAUAGGAAAUUGUCUGUUCAUCAACAAUAUGUACUUCCAUGGCUGUCUUUCUUUUCCAGCAAUGGUGCAUUUCUUUCAUUUUUUACGCAUCUUGAUGUCUUAACUAGGAGCUUGCCUACUUAUGACAAUAGAAAAGGCGGCAUUUGUACUGCAUGCAAUGUCAACUCCUUUUCCUGCUACAUGGAGUACAUGCUUUUCUUGUAAAAACAUAUUAACAUAUCUUUUAAACUACAAAAUUAAUAUUUGGUUUUCUUAUCUUUGUUCUACCUCCUGUCUAGGCUUAGCUUUCAGCAUUUACCUAUUAGCCAUCUUUUGAAGUUAAUCUAGUCAUCUCCAUUUGUUUUUUUCAUAACAUAAUACCAAUAGGAGUUACCUGGUUUAAAAUACCUGAAAUAUGCUUUAGAAUCCUCAACAGGCAUCGAAAAUUGGUAAAACCUUGAUCCUUCCUCAAGUUGGAAAACAAUCCACAACUUCAUUUAGUGAAGGGAAAAUGAGAUAAAAGGUGAAAACCUUAAGUCAGCCAAUUAUUGCAACUUUGUUCCAUGGAUCCUGGCACUUGUAAAAUCUGUGGAAUGGAUCUUCUAUUGUCACAUCAGGAUAUUAAUUUUUGAGUGGGUUGGAACUUUCUCUAAGAUGCAUAGAUGAGAAUAUGCAACAUCUCUUGGCUUUUUAUACUGCCUAACUGACUUCUCUGUUUUUAGUUCAUCUACUUGUUUUUUUUUAUCUUUCUUUCAUUCUACCUUUUUGUUUUUUUGGUAAUCAUUAUCUUACUUGAAUGACGUUGCUUAAUGGAUGUUAAUAUCAUAUAUAACUGGAUACUACUGUUUUUUUGGUCCAGCUCUUGAUGCAGCUACAAAAGGAAAUCGUUAUAUAAAUUCCUGUCUCAGGUAUACUCACUGGUACUUAAAGCCUUUUGUGAAUUCAUCAUACAAAGUUCAGAGUGGAAAAUUAUAUAACAAGCUAUGAGCUCCUGUUUGCCUUUUUCCAUCUGAUAAUUUCCUUCCCAGUGCCUUAAUGGAUGUUAAUGGAGGGGUUUUGGGAACCGGAAAGAGAGGCUGAGGCUGGUGUUAGGAGUUAUGAAUGAUGUUAUGGAUACGUUUUCGUCUUCUGGGUGUUUACUUCCCUCAUAUUUGCAAAGAUCUUUCUCUAUGUUUUCUUUUUCUCUGACACCCUAUCAUCCCAGAACAUGGCUAAUUUGCUUUGCAAUGAUUCCUUAUUUUGCAGAUUAAACGAGGAAAUGAAAGGGAUUGACAAUCUUGCCUCGCAGUUGUAUCCUUUUUCUCAUAUUAUGCAAUUGGCAUCCUCCACUCGUCUUUUAUGUCUGAGAUGCAUGGGUGGGUGAUUGACCUUUCUGCAUUUUUUUUAUUUUGAAAGUUAGGUACCAGGGAGAUUUCUGCAUUGUUUCCUUUAUCCUUCCUGCUAGAUGUGAUUUGACCAUAUUUUAAAGAACUAUGUUGUUCUUGGGUACUUAAUUUGCUUCCUCCGCUAUUCAGAUGGAUACAGCUGGGCAAAAUUGUGAAACUUUGUGUUGCCCUCAACAAGUGUUUAUAUGCUUGUUUUGAGAAGUUUCAGCUAAUUAUUCUGUUGCUACAUUUUCAAUCCUGUGCAAUCUGAAAAUUUUCCUUUCCUUAAUACUUUCAAGAAAAAUCCUCAGGAGGAAUGUAGAUGCUUUGGAUUCAGCUGUAAAUAGGAUGGUUCGUCUUCCAUGAUGUGAACAAGUUGACAAACUAGAGCUUCACAAGGCCAGACCUUGCAAAGGAACAUGUAAUCCUGGUCUUGCUCUGAAGUACCAAGUUUACUACUCAUUUUUUCUGUUUCACACAUUGUGUGGUGGAUGCUUGUUUAUUGUGGUCUUGUCGGGUAGGGUUUUUGUUCAGAUGAUCGCUGCUUGUUACCACUCCAGGCAUACAUCACUAAUGUAUUUUGUUAGCAAAUGUUAUGCUUCUUCUUUAACCACAAAAGUAAUGGGACAAUAAAAAAAAAAAAAAAUUGGAUACUUCACCUUUUAUUUGUUUGAACUUUGCUUAGUUUUUUUGUUACAUGUGAAUUUUGUUCCUUUCUGGGGGGACUCGAUUUAUCUGUGACAGAGGACUUUUCAAACAAAAAAUUCAUGUGUGCACAGAAAUAUAAUAGGCUCGUCCAUGAACUCGACAAUGUUUCCGGAUGGGCCGCACAUACCCGUAGGCUUAAGUGGCUAAUCAAACGACAAGUCUGUUGUUGGGGGGGGGGGGGGGGAAUUUUUGCACAGUUUGAUUUUGUGGGCGCAGCCGGUUGUAAAUGGAGCGAGCUCAGAAUGAAAGCUGGUCGGGUUGAGGUAUUUGCCUGACACCGUCUAUCUUGGAUUUCGAAAAGUCCGUUGGCCGAAGAAAUUUGUUGAAAGUACGGUAUUACCAGUCCAUGGUCCAUAUACCCUAUGACAAAAAAAAAAAAAAAAAGAAAUUUGUUGAAAGUAAAAUAAUAGAAAGGAGUUGUUGUCAUGAUUAAUGACCUUCCAGCGGGUACAGAACGUCCAAGGGCAAGAGCCACCGCCGCCGCCACCGCCCCAUUAGUUGACACCAAUUCCAUCGUCGUUCUUGCCACUCAUGAUAACAAAAACUGUCUGCUUUGUUGGAUUGGAUCAGGGGGCCCGUCCGGUUGAUGUAUUUUAUAUCACUUUUGUGUACAAAAAAUUUUGUGUAACAGUGGUGUCUGCUCUAAUUUAAGUAUAUGAGUUGACAAACUCACGUAUAGAUCAAAAAGAUAGAUUUAUUUACAUUAAAUGUUCAUGGCGCUAUUGUAUUUGUACCUGCUCUCUCUUUAUGGUGGCAGGAAACUGGGCACGAGCCCAACAAAUGGAUGCAGAGAAAUCAGCUUUUCUUGUUAAUAUUCAAAUGAAUGAAUGAAGUAAAUUAUUCGGAUGGUGACUAAACUUUAAGAAUAGUUGAGUUUUGGCCAAUAAACUAUAUUAAAAGCUUGAUUUUGGUCGCUGAAUUAUCUAAAAUUUAGAUUUCGAGUCAUUUCGUUAGAUUUGAUCGUUAAUUAUGUCAGAUUUGAAUGCUCACGCAAUUCAUGAGACAAAAUGAAGGGGCAUGGUUAACUGUUAAAUUUGGCGAAAUGGUAUGAAAUCUAAAUUUUAGAUAAUUUAGUUAUUAAAACCAGACUUUUAAUAGCUAUAUGUGAUCAAAACUCGACGACGAUUCCAAUAUUUUAGUAACCAUCAAAAUAAUUUGCUCAUAAAGUAAUGAUAGCCUUGAUGAUAACGCAUCUUUUCUAACCAGAAAAGGACUAUAUCCAUCUUGUACGUUGUACCCAAUUUGCAAAAUUUAUAUCGGUUGAAGCUUAUAAAGUAUGCGCUAAACCUGUUUACUUUGGAAGAAUAACGCUCGACACAAAUUAUAGUUGAAGCAUUCUCGACUUCAUGUACUUCAUCCUAAUACAGCUGAAUAAUUUAAAAAAGUAGCGUAAAACUUUCUUGAGGAAAACAAUCGCAUCUAGGCAUGUUUGCCAGUAUUCAGUCAGCUUUGCUGAUUCUGUUGGGAUUGAGAUUUUAAUCUUUUUCUUUUUAUACUGAUUUUACAAAUUCUGUAAUUGUGUGGCAGACACUCACUUUCUUGCUUUCAUCCAACAUAAAAAGGAAGAACAUUCCAAAGCACCGAUCCGCACGUUAUCUAUUGUAAUGAAAACACGUUUGCACUAGGGAAACAAAUGCCACGAGAGUUGAAAUUCUUAAUCAAACCAUUUUAUCAUUGCGCACCCGUCAAGAAUCAGAUUCACAACACCAUCUGGUUUUUUUGGGCCCGAUCUCAUGAAUUAUUGCUGAAUAUCAGAAGUUACCAGAACUCAUAAUUCAUAGAAUGUUAAUCAAACCCGCAACCACGUGUGGAUGAAUGAUGAUAUCAUAAGUUUGAUUAUCAUAUUUUGCUAUAUUAGAAAAGAUUUUUAUAAAAGAUGCCUAAGUCACCCCAACCUACCACGUGAAUGCACGUACUAAUAAUUAUUGGAUUUGUCUAAAAAAUACCCACUGAUCACUCGUUAAAAUAUAUUUAAAGUAUCAUAUUUUUGAAAAUAUAAAAUUAAAUAGGAAAAGUAUAUAAAUGCAAGCGAAGAUAAUAAAUACAAAGGAAAGUAGGUAAGAUUAAAUAGGAAAGGUAUAUACAAAUGCAAGCGAAAGCAAUAUACAUGGUAGAUCAAAUGAAAUUAAGGUGUAUUAGUGAAUACCCAAUAGAAGUCCGUUAGAAAAAUGCAACAUGAUUAUAAAUUAUCUUCUCUUACAUUUAUAUGUCUGCCUUAAUUAACUUUACUUACCUAAACAUUUAAUACGAAAAUUAAUUUUUAUCGAGUGUCCAGUAAACACUCGUCAGUCAGACCAAAUAUAAGGCCUUCCAAUUAUCUUCAAGACCCAACUCAGUUGACAAGAAAACAUUAAUGUCACGGUUCCUAUAUCGGUUGAAUUUCAAAUCCACCCUUUCCCAGGGUUUAGAUUUUCCUGGAACCAAACCAAAAAAUUCGUGUCGACAGAUGGGCACCACGCCGUUCUAGAUUGUAUGAGGCUGAUGUUAUUGCAUCGCCAGGUAAUUAUCACAAAAUCAUCAACUGCACAACAAUCACUGCCUAGAAAAGUGAACGAACACUUACUUCCAGGAAAUGACAUGAGUCGUAGGUGUCUUUUUAUAAACGGCCAUUCACACUUGAGCCAAGACAAACAAUAGCAAAGAAUUAUGUAACUGUCCCUCCCUUUUUAAUCUGUAUGUGUGUCUUUUUCCGUCUAAAUUUCUGCAUCCCAGUACAUGACGUGCCCCAGCCGCAGUGAAAUUUAGCACACAUACGAUAUUAAGGGUGUGUUUGGAUUGUAAUUUUUUAAAUAAAAGUUGUUACUUUUUUUUUUAGAUAUAUUUUUUUAUCUCACAUCUAUCAAAUCGCUGCACUAAUUUUUCUAAAAAAAAAAAAAAGUUUAGAAAAAUACAAUCCAAACAAAAAGCCUAAUAAGUUCAUAGGAUGAAAAUAUAAUUAUUGGAUGUGGUCCAUGUGGGGGUGUAAUUUGGGUAAUGAGGGCCAGUUGAUCAACAUUUAUUAGGCCUCUCUUUUUGUUGUUUUGUUUCCUAGUAAUACUAGUGUGUGUGUGUGUGUGUGUUUCUUCAGCUACUCGUCAACAACUACCAACUCUCGCUGACUAUCCCAUGAGGACAAAGGAAAAAGAUUUCCGUGUUAUGGAAGAAAGAAGAAAAAGAAGCUUUGAGACUACUAUUUUUCAGCAGCCUCUCAAGGUACGUAUUCUCGUCAUGGAUUUCCACUUUCCACUGGGUUUAGUCCAAACUCCAAACCAAUGAGGAUUGUUAAUUUACAGCAAAUGACCGCAAACAGGAUUCUGAGAGAUAAUAACACAUGGAGUAAUGGUGCUUUAAAACUACAAGUUGCAUGCAUGUUCAUAAGAUUUUCUAUUCUGAAACUUUUCCACAAGGCAUUUUGUCGGCAAAUGGAUGAGAUUGAGUGUUCGGUAUGUGUUUCUAUAGAAUAAUGCCAAGAUUAAUUAUGAUUGUUAGCAACUAUAUGGGCCACUCAUGUGGUGUACGAAAGAUUAAUAAAAUGCACUUAUAGAGCUAGUCUUCUGAAUUAGUAGUCUUCAAAGGUGUUCAAGAAUUUGUUCAAUUUUUUCUUGAUUUGGUUAUGCAUCAUGAUUUUUUUUUUUUUUUUUUGCCUCAAUUUGUUCACGGGUUCAGCUUCAGUUGUGCAAAUUAACCCUUUGGGUAUAAUAAGAGCAGGCGAAGCUAAAGCCAAUAAAGGAAAAUUUUCAUUUGUAAAAGAGUGACACAGGACAAAUUUCAGAUCUCCCCCCCCACACCGCAAGAAAGACAGAAAUAUUUGUCCCUUGCGCCAAAUUCAAGGGCCAGCCCUUGAAAUUUUACGUUUGCAUGGGCAUAGACGGUGGACUGUUCGCGUUAAUGGAUUGAAUUGCUAGAUGUGAAAUACCACCAAACUGCAGUAAACGUGAGAAUCUUGGCCUAUUAUUAUUUUUUUUCACUGUUAUUGAAACUGGAAUCGCUCAUGAUUUUUAUGGUGCAUGGGCACUUACAGGAUUUUUAUGGUCACGAAUUAAGCUGCCAACUGCUCAAGGACACACACAUCAAUCCGCCUAAUGUGUGUCAGUGUCACGCCGUCGGCUGUUGUGCACAAUGCGCGAAAAUUGGACCCAUGACACAGUGACAUGGUUUGACAUUAGGGUAGUAGAACGAGUCUCCUCUCCAGUCUCCUCCCCUUAAUUCUAAACUCUUAUCUGUUUGAAAAUAUAUCAAUAAUGGGAAUGCCUACGACUUUUAGUUCCGACAUAUUCACAAAUAUUAUUAUUGUUUCUAGUUUUAUUAGAAAUAUGCAAAAACGUUAUUGACCACCAACAAUUAUAAAUAACUAUAAAAAAGUAAUCAUUUCUCCUACAUAAACAUCUUGUUUUAGUUUUUUUUUUUCUUAAGAUUCAAUAACUGUUAAUUGAAUAAAAAAUAAAUACAGCAGCUUAAAAAAAGUAAUAUAUAAUAGAAAAUUAAAAAAUACAGUAGAAAAUUCAUAAAAAAUCUCAUUUUUUAUGCAUUUUGAUUUUUUGAGUUUGUUAAAUUUUGUGUAUAACUCAAUUAAUAGUUAUUGAAUCUUAAGAAAACAAAAAAGAACUAAAACAUGAUAUUUAUGUAGGAGAAAUAGCAAUAUAAUAAAAAGUGAGACAGAGAGUGGCACAGGAUGUGGAACAGAAGAUCCGUUGCGGUAAAAAAACUCGUUUUUUCCUGGCCGAGCUUCUAAGAUUCUCUACAAGACUAAAUUGGCAAUCAACUCCUCAAGUCAGAGAGCUAUUUAUGCAUCUUAUUUGACUCUCAAAAUCGAUUUUUUUUUCCCUUCUUCUUACAACAUUUCCCUUCGAACUACAAAUAAAAGGACUAUUUAUUCACAAGCUCAAGUGACCUCCCAUGUCGUACUGACAUAAUUUGAUGUGCAAAUCAAAGUCAACUGAUAAACUAAUUAGAUUAGAAGAAAAAAAGCAUGUAACAAGUUGAAUUUCGAAGUCGAACGGUACUCUAAAGAAAAAAAAUAGGGCUACCUCAUGUCCACGUACACAUGCACAAGAUCAGAAGAAACAAAUUACUAAUUCAGUAGUAGACUGUGUAAGUGUCAUGUCCUCCACUCAAUACGAAAUCAAACACUCUUUGAUCGUACAAUAAUUGUAGAUUGUUUUUUAACAAUAAUUAUAUUCAUUGAUUUCAUCACUCGCCGGCAGCAGCAGCCAAUUAUAGGCCACCGCCAGGCCGCCUCCCGCAAUCAUUUUUUUUUGAACCAGAACAUCUGCCAAACCAUAACCAGGGAAUUUGUCGAUAACUAUUCUUAAGACUUUAAUUAAAAUUCACAUUAGACGAAUGCUUCAUUUUUUUCCCAAUAGCUCAAAUUUUGCUACUUCUCCUCUAUAUAUUGUUCAUUGUUUACCUUGAGGAAAUUCUUAAUAUAUUUGAAAAUUUAUUAAAUCGUCAUAGCAACCAAAAAAUUUUCUUGCCAUGUGUAUGAUAAAUUGCCAUACAAAUAAACAGAAAAUCUUUAGAGAUCUAUUGUGUUAAUUCAUGAUUUUUUUUUAUUGGUAGAAUGCAUAAUGAUAACUCUUCCAGACGAUCGACUAUUAACUAACCUUGGUGUUAAUUCUAAUGCUAAUUAUGACUUAGAUUCUCUGGCGAUGGGUCAUUUCUCUUUUCCUUUAAAAUGAAACUUUUAUAUUUCACACUAAACUAUGAUCAUUAUCAAAGCCAAGGUUUAAGCAUGAUUAGUUUUCCAUAGUUAAAGUCCACAUGCAUGGUAACAAAUAUAUUAACAAGGGAAUAAAUUUUGAAAUUGCAUUAGUUUGGAAAUAUUUUUUAAGAGGAAGAUUAUAUUGGCAUUGCACUCCACAUUUUUCUAAUAAAACUUGGUAGUCCUAGUCCUGUCUGAUAAUUUACUAUUUCUUGUUUGUUUCCACAUUUACCAUAUCUGUGUCCGAGUACCCAAGAUUUUUGUCGGACUCUUUAUUUUGUUUUUCUGUAAAUUGUAAAAACUAGCUACAAAUACAAUAAGUUUAGCCUAUUAUUUUUUGUGUUUUUGUUUCUGAGCAAUUAUUUUUGCAUGGUUUCACUUUCACUUCCAUAAGGACCGUAACCACUUAAGUUGAUGGUUUCUUCACCUCUCCUGUAGGUCCCAAAUGUUUCAGUUCCUGCACCAAAGGUGCUGAGAUCUUUAAUAAUGUCUGCCCUUUUCUUCCCUAUCAAUUUCUUUUUGUAAUCCAAGCAAACAAAAAAAAAAAAGUGAUGUAUAGUGGGCUUCUCCAGUCUGUCCCGUAAUUUCAGCUCUUGUCCUCUUACUCUAUCAACCGUUAACUCGAAAUCCUUAUCUCUUCAGUGAUGGUCCUGAUGGAUGUGAGUUUUCUACUCCAUGAAAAACCUUGUCCGAAUUUACCAUGACGAACACGUGCACAUGCAUGUAUUUGUGAGAGUUUUCUCGGACUUUUCUGGGAGAGUUCACUUGAAAAAAUCCCCCAUAUCCCGGUCUUAUCGUUCUGGAGUGUGAAUCAAGGAAAAUCCAGGUCUUGAAGUUGAGAGUCAUGCAGAAAACUCAUUGUUUUGCAUGCGCUUUAGUUCCCUACGAGCAAAGCCUUCGUGGAUUAAUCACAAAAGUUUGAGGCACUAGCUAGUAGUUGGUUCUGUUUAAAGUCUUCUUGCAGCCAUACAAAUUUCAGUUUUUUUUCUUUUUGUAGGGUAGAAAUUCGAGUUAUACUAAGCUGGGAAGUAGGAUUGCGCCGGAAGUCAAAGUUUAGCCUUAUCAGCUUAAGAAGGAAAGGGUGUGCAGUGUGCUACAGGAUAAUGGCAACAGGACGACUCCAAAAUCAACCGGCUGAGAGUCUGAGGAAGCAGCUCGCUCUUGCUGUUAAAAGUAUUCAAUGGAGCUAUGCAAUUUUCUGGUCCAUUUCCUGUAGACAACCAGGGUAUUCAAUAGUAUUCCGCUUCUGCUUUGCUGACGUCCUUUGUUUUAUUCAAUUGUUUGUUUUUUUGAAAAUCUUCCGCAGAAUUUUUGCAGCAAAUUUUUGUUGCCUUUGUCCUCCAUCACCAUUUUUCUCUCAGAAGGUCUUUUUCUUCCCCCGCCCUUCUGUGUAUCUUUUUCCUUUUUCAAUAUUGUUAGUCUAAAGGGUUACUGCAGAAACUACUAUGAAGUAUGAGAUUCCAGGAAUAUAUGGAAUAGACAAAUGAAUGGCGUCACAUGAGUACAUAUUCUGGGGAAUCUUCUGAGGUUGUAAGAACAAUUAAUUUUAGUACAUAAGAAACUUUUUUUUUUUUUUCUAAAUUACCUUCGCUGACCAUUUUAACCAAAAUUCUAACAGUGGAAUAUUCCAAGCUUACCGUUUCCAAACAAACCCAGAAAUAUGCGAUAUUAUGCUGACUUUCAAUCUUACUUGUUUCUUUUUUAUUUCUAACUUUAACAAAUAUCAGUAAUUAUCAGCACUAAGGAAGAUUUUUCAUGAGUGCAUAAGGUAAUUUGAUGCUACUGGAACUAACUGUGUAGGGUGCUAGAAUGGAUUGAUGGAUACUACAAUGGAGAUAUAAAGACAAGGAAAACGAUUCAAGCAGCGGAGCCUAGUGCUGAUCAGCUGGAAUUGCAGAGGAGUGAGCAACUGAGAGAGCUUUAUGAGUCCCUCUCGGCAGCCGAGACCAGCCUUCAAGCUAAAAGGCCUUCAGUUGCUUUGUCUCCAGAAGACCUCACAGAUACCGAGUGGUAUUUCUUGGUUUGCAUGUCUUUCGUGUUCAUCACCGGCCAAGGGUAAAUUCCUUUUCAUCCUUUUGCCCUUUUUUGGAUGUUAUUUUCAUUUAGGGUCUGUUUGAUUGAUUGAUUGGGUGUAAGAUAUUUUCCCUGGAAAAUGAAUGCUUUCCCAUUCGUUUUCCGGUGUUUGGUUGACUAGUUUGGGCUCCUAGACCUUAGAUCUCGAAUGUCCAACCCACAGCAGCAGCACCUUGCAUCUUGCAUCCUAACAUACGUUUUGCUUCGUCAUGCCUAGCACUAGCAAAGCUGCCUACCAUCCACGUUCUUUUGUCACCACAGCUGCAAAAAACUCCCCCCAUCACCACCAUUGCCACCACUUCCUCUUUGCCAGUCCCAGCACCAUCCCCACGGCAAAAGAAAAUUAUCUUCAAUUGGGAAGUCUCAUGAAACAACGAGAAGUUCUUCAAAAAUACCAAUUGCGGGUAUUGCAGAAAUUGAGAUUCAUUAGAUUAGUUCAUCAAUAAAGGAGUAUCUUUUUCCAGAAAAUAUCUUCCGAAAAAUAUUUCUGACCCCUCUGUCAAGUCUGCCAUUCAUUCAUGUCAAGUCUGCCUUUAUAGCAUAAGAUAUUUCUUUGGCAGACUCUACUUCCCUCAAGAGGCUUGACAACUUGGACAUAAAUAAUGUGAGCUGAAACAUUAUUAUCAGUGCUCUUCACACAUGAGUGACUCUAACGAAAACAAAAUCAUUCAACAUGGUUAUGAGUCCAUGAAUUAGAUUACCCAUCAAGAACACGCAAAGUUUUUUGUUUUUGAAAGGAGACCACGCAAAGUUUGUUCAUGCAAUUUCAAAAUUGUGACAUAUUGAGUGUAUUUAGAUAUAAGAUUAUUUGAAAUAUUAUUUAGAGUAUUUAUUAGAAUAUUUUUUAUGAUGUGAUGUAUGUAAAAUAAAAAAAUUAAUUGAAAAACGUGUUUACGAUAUAAGUAAAUAAUUUCUUACAAAUAAUGUGAUAUCUUUUUUUUUAUGGAUACGAUAAUUUCUAUUCUAUACCUACACCUACUUCUACUCUAUACUAAGGGGAAGGGGUGAGCCCAAAUGAAAAAUCCGGAGAGAACUGGACCAAACAGGUACACCUACUACUACUUUACACUAUAAGAAAGGAGUGAACCCAAAUGGGUCACUAAAAAAUUCGGAGGAAACUGGAUCAGACGGGUACCUCUGCACCACCCGUCGUCAGCGAAUGCAAAUCAGAAAAUUUGAUUCCUUACCCUGCAUUCAUAUAGAACUUUAAGCCUGCUAGCCAAUUACCUUAGAGGUAGUUGGUUAAUAAUGUGAUGAAAGCAUUUGGCCGCUUUCGACAUAUGAUGGGCGUCCAAGCAAUCUUGAUGAUGGUACAAGUACGGUAUGACGGGUCUCCUUCAUAAAUGCUUUACGUGUACCCAUCUAAAUUCACUGAAAAAAUUGGACAAAAAGUACAUAUUGCUUCCUCUAGUUAUAAGGACCUGAUUCACAUGUGUCCAUGAUCCAAGUGGGCACCGACCGAUGGUCCUUUACCUGCAAUGGCAACGUGCAUGCGGUCGGGUCGAUAAUACUAACCAUUUUCACCCUCCGGUUUGGCCAGUGGCUAAUUUUAGUCACCAUUGCGUCCACAGAGAGCAACGACGCCUUUGGAGACUGGGGAGCAAUAAUAAUGCAACCAAACUUCGAAGUUGAACCUUUUGCUUACUUUAAUUUGCCAUUUGAACAUGGGUUUAAAAUUAAUUUCUUGGCAAUGUCAAGAAUGGGUUGGAAUGGCUAAAAUCUAAAUCGAUUAACAUUUUAUUGAAUGAGUGUUUUUGCUUUGAAAUCCACUACCAGAUUGCCAGGACGUACGCUAGCAAAGAAUCAGAUUACGUGGCUAUGCAAUGCUCACCAGGCAGACAGCAAAGUGUUCCCUCGGUCUCUGCUUGCCAAGGCAAGUGAAGGGCAUCUGGUUGCUGAAUUUUAUUGGAUCAUUCAUCAUUCCCAGAAGAUUAACAUCUUUUUUUUUUUGGGUUUCGUUUCUGACCUGAAUCAUUGGACUUUUGCUGCCUUCAUCAGAGCGCAUCUAUUCAGGUAAUAUGCCACGCUAUCACCUUUUAUAUUUGUGCCCACCUGUUGAGGUCAUUCAGAAAUUUGUACGAAAUUCUGCCUUUUAAAAACGCUAAAUGCAGGGAAAAUUUUAAAUCAAUGUCGUACUCGAUGAUUUUUUGACCCAAAUGAUGGCACUAACUGGAGCUUGAUUCCCCACUUUUCUUGAUUACAUUUAGACUGUUGUUUGCUUUCCACAUCUAGGAGGUGUAGUGGAGCUAGGAGUAACAGAACCAGUAAGCCUUAUUCUUGGACUUGCUCUCCACUUUAAUUAUCUGAAUGAAAUCUUAUCUUUUGAUGAUGGACAUAUUUGUUUUGCUGCUGUACGAUAUUUGAAGGUUGUAGAGGACAGAAAUCUCAUUCGACACAUAAAAUCUGCCUUCCUGGAUAAUCCUUACCCCGUCAUUUCCAAAAUUCCUCAAUAUGUCCCAAAUACAAAUGCCAAAGACAUUGUUGUCUGCGGUCUUGAUGAUGACAUGAUUGAAGCUAAUUUUGAGCCGCUGGUUGAAUGCGAAGAUGUAAAGAUUUGUUCUCCCAGUAACAGUACAACUGGUUUUGAGGACGCUGAUCAGCAGGCACAGAAUUCACAUAUGAUGGAAGGCACCAGUGAUGAGGCUUGUCAUGUACAAAGCUGGCGAUUCAUGGAUGAUGAAAUUAGCAAUUGUAUCCAUGACUCUAUGAAUUCCGGAGACUGCACACCUCAAACAUAUGCAAAUGGUGAAAAAGGGGUUCCACUUUCUAAUGAAGAAACAGUAAACCAUGAUUUUAAGCAUGACCUGCAAGAAUGCAAUCUAAAGAAACUGGAUCACUUUAACUUUCGCAGUGAUGAUGCUCACUAUCAAGGUGUUCUUUCUGCUCUAUUGAAAAGCUCGCACCAGCUAAUUUUGGGACCAUAUUUCACAAAUAGCAAUCAAGAAUCAAGCUUUGUAAGCUGGAAGAUAGAGAGACCACAGUUUGUCCAGAAACAAGGGGCGAUGUCACAAAGAGUUCUAAAGAGUGUAGUGUUCGAAGUUCCUAGGAUGCACGGUGACUGGAAACUCAAGUCCAGUAAAGGCUAUGGCAAAAGAGAGAGCAUUUGGAGACCAGAGGCUGAUGAAAUUGAUAACAAUCACGUCUUGGCUGAAAGGAAAAGGAGAGAAAAAUUAAACGAAAGAUUUAUGAUGCUUGGAUCAUUGGUCCCAUCCAAUGGCAAGGUACUUAAAUAUCAAUUUUUCUUCUUUUUUUUUUUGGUAAUUAUCGAAACGCGUAAUGCACUAAUAGAAGCUCAAUUGCUUCUCAUAUUCCAGCUUGAUAAAGUUUCAAUACUGGAUGGUGCAAUUGACUAUCUGAAAGAGCUUGAAAGAAGAGUAGAGGAGCUUGAAUCCGUCAAAGAGGCGAUAGAGCUAGAGGCAAGAACAAAGAGGCUGCAGCAAGAAGCAACAGAGAGGACCUCUGGUAAUUAUAUCAUGAAUAAAGUUGGCAAGAGCAGGAAGCCCGUAAUCAGCAAGAGGAAGGCAAGUAAUCUUGAAGAAAUUGAAGCUGAAACCAAUUACUGUACCUUGACAGAGUGCUCAAGUGAUGAUCUAACUGUGACAGUGAUCAACAGGAAUGCCUUGAUUGAACUUGAGUGUCCUUGGACAGAGUCUGUCUUUUGUGAAAUUAUGGAGGCAGUAAGCAAGCUCAAUCUAGAUUCUCACACCGUUCAAUCUUCCAACACUGAUGGAACUCUCACUGUUAAAAUUAGAGCUAAGGUUUGAUUCCUAUUUCUUGAUUUACUAUUAAUGAACCUCCAAUUCAGCUAGUUACCAUCUUGUAGAGAAAGUUGCAUUUUCAAGUAGCACUAUUACGAACUGUAUUUAUCUAACAGCUUUCACGGAAUGAAUUUCAGUUCAAGGGAUCAAAAGUUGCAACACCUGGUAUGAUCAGACGAGCACUUCAGAGAGUCCUCCGAAAGUACUGAAGACUGAAGAUGACCAUGUUGCAAGACGAGUUUCAGUUCAUGAUGGUAGCUUUAGUUAGUGACUCAAGUGUAUGUACAACAUGCUGUAAUCUUCCAAUAUUUUCAGGGAUUCUGACAGUUAAAAAAAGGGCCAGAUGGUUAAAGAGGCAUUUGCCCAGAGGAGGGCAGUCUAAUAAAUGGAAAGCGUUCUUCUUUAUAUCCAGAAUAUCACAAUAAUCCUUUGAAGUGGGACAUACCUAUAUAUACCUGCAGACUUUUGUUUACAGCAGAGCACAAAAAUGAAAAAUCCACAGGGUUCAUUAUGAGAUCCCUAAGCACAAGACGCUCUAACAGGAUAACUUUGACUGACGCAGCUGAACUAGUAUUGUAAGGAAUUUAUGAAGAGAGUUUAGUAUGGGAGAGGACUGUUCAAGAAUAUUAACCAAAUAGUACAAGUCGAAAAAGGGGAAGAUAGAAAUGCUCUUUACAAUUUACAACUGUCAAGCUUCAGGGCACCGGGAUUUCAUAAUGCAACCUCAAAGGGUACAUGAAUCACCCAUCUAACUUAGCAUCAGAACUUGGUCCCUACCAAUCAAGUCACGAUAAAAGAUGUUCAAGUGACUGAGAUUCUCUGACUUUAACUUUGCGCUGACAAUGAUGCUAAGUUUAGGAUUGUCUCUUCUUUUUCUUUUCUCAUGCAGAUCCGAUCAAUUUAUCAUCUGAAUGACAAUUUAUCCAAUCAAUUCCACUGUUAAUGAAUCAAAUCCUCAAUUUUAGGUACGCUUUUGUAAUCUAUGAUUUUGCUAAGCAAUACCAGGAGCAUAGCUCUUCUUCCCUGUUAAAGAAAAGGAAGAAUUCCAACUGGUUUAGAAAAUGACCAAGAAAGACGCGCAAAAAAAAUUUGAUCUCAGGACCCAAGUCUUUUGGUUUAGGCUUGUAGCAGACAACUUGCUUGUAGAAUUUGGUACAACUUAUCUCACGAAAUCGGUUAGCAAGCUUGAUGUUAUUCAAGUUGCUUAUGAUCUCAAGAACUUCUCUCUUGAAGUUGUUUAUUAUCGUAUAAAAAUUCUCUGGAAGUUUUAUAUGAUUUCCUCUUACGUUAUUUUCUUUCUAUUUCUGCAACGUGCUGCAGAGGAAAAAGAAUUCGUGGCAUCCGCCAAAACCUAAUCACUGGACCAAGAAAAAUAAAUGUGGAGCUGAGGCCAAUGCUACUCUGUCUCUGCGAGCAACCAAUCAGAGGGGCAUUUGUUACUGUAAAGAAGGGCAGAGGGGUCAGAGUUCAGCCACAAAGCAGAAGAAAGCAGCCUUCACAUCCAGUGGAAUGUCCAGCUAUAAAAGCAUUCUAAAAAAUUAAUAGAACACCCUGCAAUGAACAUUUAACUCACUCGUUCUAAUUCAAUGUACUUCAAACGAAACGACAAUGAUCACUCAAGACGAAUUCAAUCACUAAAGUUGCUUGUCUCCGGAAUAUAUCUGUUUUUACCAGAAACUCUUACUACCAAGGAGGAGAAAUAGGACAGAUACGUUCUUUUCCCUACACUGUAUAUCGAUAUGAUUGCAGCAGAUUCGAUAGCAAACAACGUGAAAAAUAGUAAAUAUUUCUUCAUAAAAAAAAUUUCAUGAAUCACUUAUCAGCAUCUUUGACUACAAGAAUUAGUUACUUUUAAUAGCUAUAUUUUGUCUUUCAGGCACAUGGUAGAGAAGGCAGAGGCUAUUUUACAGAACUUGAGACCAUUCCCAGAACCUCAGAAGAUCCAACGCUUGAGGGAUUUAAGAACUUCUCCUUUUCUUAGUAAUGUAAAGCCACAAGAUUUUUCCAAACUUUAUCAACCACGCUGCAUAUCACAUGAUAUUAUUCCCAUUCAAUUGUUGAUGGAGGCUUCGAAGUAAUAUCUUGAACAACUCGAUUUAUCCCACGUACACUAUUGCAUAUCUUUCUUGCAACAUCAUCGAGGAAAUUGUGUUCAAAAUUGUACCUAAACAUCCCAACCAUUUAGAUAUAGGAUUCCGAAGGGAAAAAAGAAAAGAAGAAAACAAAGAACAAAAAGAGAGAGUAUUUAUGUCUGAAAAUAGGCAGAUAAACCACAGUACACACACACACAGAGACAGAAGAAAACCAGUUGGCAUAAGUAACCACAUAUCCUUGAAACUGAACCUAAAAGUAAAUAUCAUACCACUACUGGCAAAAGUAAGGACAAGUAUAAGAAAUGAUAAUGAGCUGUUAUAACAAUUCAAAAUCCUCAUUCACAUAAGUUUAACUAGUCCAACAAUCUGCUUAGUUUGAAGGGAUGCCAAUCCUUCCUACUGCUACAUGUUUAUGCAUUCAAUCAAGAAACCAUUUCAGUUCUACAACUUGAAGUUCAAACCUUUUUUUGUGAAAAGGAUAAGACAGAUGAAUAAAUACUUUAAACAUUGUUGCAAUGGAGAAACUAAUAGAUGAAUGCAUAUGUUCUGUAUGAUUGUCAAGACAUGCAGUUCAAAAGAUGCAAAGAAGAAUCAUUUCUCAAUUGCUUACAACGAUAGAGGUAAUCAAAGAAUUGCAAAGCGCAUAAAUACCAGUCAGCAGUCAUCCCAUCUUGACUUGUGACAGCUCUCAAUGCAACAACAUGAGAAUGUGUUCUUUGAUCUCCUUGAACUCCAACUGACCUUAUGGGCAAGAAAACAGCAAAAGCUUGCCAUAUUUUAUCAUAGAUCCCAGCAUCUUUGAUUGACUGAAUGAAAAUCUCAUCAACCUACAAGACGUAUUUGUAAGGAACAGGCAUAGAAUGUAACACCAAGACAGCUGACCUGUACUGAAUGAACAAAUGGUCCAAAACCUGGCGAAGAAUAUCCAGCGCAUUUCCUUGAGUGACGUCACCCAGAACCCUCACUGCAAGACCAGGCCCAGGGAAGGGGUGUCGCUUUAAAAAGGCCUCUGGGACAUUUAAAAUACUUCCCAAUGCACGAACCUGCAAAUGAAUUCAAGCAUUAGCAAGUUAAAAUAUCAGUUUAUCAUUUAUUGCAGCAGAAGAAACAUCAUAAAAAUGUUUUCGGGAUGGAGAUAUAGAAUGGAGAACCUCAUCCUUGAAUAAAAGUUUAAGUGGUUCAAUGAGCUUUAGCUUCAUGUUCUUUGGCAGCCCUCCAACAUUAUGAUGACUCUUGAUUGUGUGGGAAUGGGUGCUUUGAGUUCCAGGUGGCGGACAAGAUUCAAUCACAUCAGGAUACAAUGUUCCUUGGACCAAGUAAGCAGGUCUCUUUCCGAAUUUCUGCUCCAGAUCAUGAGCAAAUGCAUCAAAAAUGUUGAUAAACUCCUUUCCAAUUAUUUUUCUCUUCAUUUCAGGAUCAACCACCCCUUUAAGCUGGCUAAGGAACUGCUCUGUGGCAUCAACACAAGUAACAGGUAAAUGAAGGUCCCUUUCAAAAGUUUCCAUCACCCGUUCUCUCUCCUUAUACCUAGAACAAACAAAAGAGGUGAAUCAGAAUCCAAAGACAUGAAUAAAUCCCUAACAGUGUCAAAUACUACAUUGCAAAGUCAUUUCUAGUACAUUAUUAUCCAUGAUGUUGAGAAGAUAUCUUUAGUAGUACCAGUUACAUCAAAAUUGAUAUUUUUGUGAGUAGUACCAGUUACAUGAAAAUUGAUAUUUUUGUGCAGUCUUUCUUAUGAUUUUCUAAUAGUAGGCCAAAUCCUUCAAAUCAACACCAGAAAAGCAUUGAGAAAUUUUCAACUUCUAUAUCAAAAUUCUAUAGAACCAUUAGCCUUUACAAAGUCAGCAGAUCCUAACCUUUCCUUAAGCUAAAAGCUGUUUUGACUUCUUUUAGGCUGCUAACAGAUGCACCUGGCGUCUGCUUUGAUUAUUCUCUUUGAAACAAAAAGAUAUUCGAAGGGUGUUUUGUGUAAUAGCUAUUUCUUUCCAAGCUUCUAAGACAAUAAUAAUACUUUAAUCUUCCACAAGUUUUUCCAGGAGUCACUUCUUAAUUAUCUCUAAUAUAAGCUGAAGCUCACUCGGAUAAUCUCCAUAACAUGAAUAAGAGAAAUUAAAAUAAAAAAGGAAAAAGAAAAAAGAAAAGAGGGUAAAUAGUGAAAAGAAAGGAAAAGAAGGAAAAGGCAACACAAUCCCUCAACAUCCAUUUUUGCUCCCCCUAUAAACUUUGUCGUUCAUGUGAUAUCCCAAUCAAGAACAUGAACAAGAAAAAGAAAAAGCAGUGAAAAAAACAAAGAAAAGGUUGAUAAGGUAGCUUGGGUAUCUCCUAGCGACAUCUAAAGUAUAACAACACCAUGACAAUACUAACCAUCUUCUAAAUGCAUUAAGGAUUGCUCCAAAAUUUAACAUUAGAGUCUACUAUAAUAAUGAAGCACUUAUGCUAAUGAACCAUAAUAGUCGAAAGUAUUGGCAUACAAACCUCAAUAAACCAUUAUCAACAAAGACACAGUGGAGCCUGUCUCCAAUUGCUUUAUGAACAAGAGUAGCAGCAACAGUAGAAUCGACACCCCCAGAUAAUGCACAAAUGACAUGAUCUUCAAGUCUGACCUUUUCCUGAAUGGCUUUUAUUUCUUGCUCAAGGACAUCUUCCAUCUUCCACUCAGCACUAACACCACAAACAUCAAAAAGGAAGUGUUGUAAUGUUUCCAUCCCUUCAUGCGUAUGAGUGACCUGCCCCAUAUUGAAAAACUUGUAAAAUAUCUAGUAACAAACUUUUUGCUUAUGGCCAUACAGGUCACAUGACUCUAUCACUUAGAUAAAGUAUAUGUAAAUCAUGACGUAAAGAAACACAAUCAAAAUAAUCCUUUUCUAUUUCAUUUUUCAUACAGACAGUAGGAUUGUACAGUGCUAGCCACCCACUUUGUCUGAUUGGUGUCUUUCUAAACGAGUAAUCUGGUAACUAUUUAGUCAUUCUAUAACACUGGGGCAUAUCAAGAACAUGGUUCCAACAUGACAUAUUUACCUGUAUAUAUCAAUCACCCGGUUUUUUAUUUGCAAGGCAGCACGCAAAAUGAAAAAUGCAAUUCAUUUAUUUUUUUAGUCUCCACAGUGAUCAAUGACAAGAUGCCACAUGCUCAGUUACGGACUUACACCUAAGAAGACAUGAUGCUUUAAGAAAAUUGUGUCCAGUUAAAAAUCCUUCGAACAUGUCAUAGCAUUUGUCUCAAAUGUCCUACACAAUAGAUGUUGGAUACUAGUACUUAUAGAUGGCAUGAGGGAAUAAAAGCAGGUUGAUUUUGCAAACAGAGCUGCAAGAUGGGAAAUUUCAAAGUAUAUAAAUGAAAUGUACUAUAUUUGGAGCUUUGAUUUCUCACUUUGCUAUGGGUACGGAGUUAAUUAGUAUUGUUGCUGAUACAUAUAAACUUUAAAGAAACAAGAGCAGCCUAAAAACUCAGCUACUCUAUAGCUAUAACACCAUCAUCAACAUGACCCAAUAACCCAUAUAUCAAACUUAAAUAAAACAUUGACUUUAUAUGUACCUUUUACUCCAAUUUCGUGCUGGAAAACAAAUCAAGAAUUUUUUAAUUGUUCCAGUCCGAUAGGCUGUGAAGACAAGUCUAAAAUUGGUUAUUUUCCAAAGUGAGACCCAUGUAACAAACGUUCCAUCGCAAUGAUCAUUGUAACAUUGGACAAAUACAAAAUGCAAUGAUCAUUAAUCUCGGUAAUUGCACAUUCUUUUAGCGCUGCAUGAUUAAAAAAUGUACAAACAAUUACACAGUUCAACGUUAUCAACCAAAUUUUACCUCAUAUACCAAUUAAUUCAAGCUAAAUACACAAAUUUUACCUCAGGAUGGUAUUGAAACCCAUAAAACCUCCUCUUGUUGUCCUCCACCGCAGCGACCGCCCCCUGUUGACUCCUGGCCGCAACCUCAAACCCCUGAGGCAAAUUCACAGCCUCAUCUCCAUGACUCAUCCAAACAACCUGUUUAUCCCCAACCUUUCUAUUCCCAAACAACCCACAAGCCUUCUGCACCUCAAUCUCCAUCCUUCCAUACUCCUGCUUCUCUCCAAUACUCACUUGCCCGCCAAGCCUCUGCACGAGCAGCUGCAGCCCAUAACAAAUACCCAAAACAGGAAUCUUCUCCGACUCAACAUACUCGAUGAACCCAGAUGGAAAACACGGUGCUUGGGGCGCGUGGACGCUGUGGGGACCACCAGAGAGGAUAAUCACUUUCGGGUUUUCUUUACGGAUGGAUUCGAGUGAGGCUGUACCGUUUAAGCAGAGGGAGUAGACUGAGAGCUGGCGGAUUCUUCGGGUGAUGAGGUGCGUAUAUUGGGAGCCAUAGUCUAGGAUUAGGACUAGGUCGGAUUUGACGUCCUGAGAAUCCAUUUGGGAGAAGGAUUGUCGGUUUGGCCGGAGAAGAAGGAGCAGGGUUUUAGGAGGGUUUUAGGUGGGUGAAACGAGAACGGGGUGUGCGUGUGAGUUUCUUCCGUUUCGGAAAAAAAAGGAGAACGGGGUGGCUAGGGUUAUUGGGUCCGGUUGGCGGGAAGUGGAGCCAAAUAGUACUCCUAUCUGACUUUAGUUUAAUUUAGAGUGAAUGGCCCAAAAGGUCACUAAACUAUUAAAAAUGGCACCUUUUGGUCAUCAAACUUUUUUUGUGACCCAAAAGGUCACUAAACUCACAAAAACACGCCAGCGGAGUCCUUUAACCGAUUUUCAGCGGUUUCUCAUCCGGUGGCAUGGACAAUGUGUAGUGGAGGAAUAUAAUAAAGGGGCAAAAAUGUCCGAAAGGUUAUUGGAACAAGUGAAGCCCAAAAUUUUUCGUUCCCGAAGUUGACCAACCUCCACCCAUAGAUUGACUUCAUCUCCAGCAGUAAAAGUAGUGACUGCGACCACCUCUAGAGCAAAUCAAAAUAGGAAAUAACAAGAUUUACAGCCUAAUUAGUUCAUUGAUUCCUUUUUUUUCAUCUCACACAAAUCUUCGUUCAGUCUGAGGAAUUGAAGAAAAAAAGCAGAGAAUAGAGAAAAAUGUUCAACAGGGAGCAGAAAAAUUCCAUCUCAAAGCGAAAAAAAGCUGGACAAAGGGAAUAAUUUUUUCCCCAGAAAAAGGAAGAAAUUCAAUCGCAAGCGAAGACUUGGGAGGGCAACCGCAAGACAUCAGAUUUGGAGAAGCAGAAGUCAUCGAUGGUGUCGAUGGCCUAAAGCAGCCUUAUCAUUCCCUUCAUAAUCAGUGGCUUCCUAGCCCAUUCAUUACCUUCCUUUCCGUUAACUAUUGAGUCGAUUUCAUCUCAUCUCCUUCGACUGAGCUGCAUCUGUCCUUUACGCAUUUAAUUUCUUGACGAAAUGCCUUUCACUUUCGAUCGAAUUCCUCUGUCUUCCCCUUCGCCGGAGCUUGACUAGAAAGACGAAAUAGCCUUGACUUCAUUCAGUGCGCUACCUAGAAUUCGAUUCUUGACUGGUGCUAUCUAUAAACCAACAAUCUAAAGCCUUGGGCAGAGUCUGAGCUUAUCUUCCAAGGGUUAGGUUCAAGGGCUGGUCUCCUUCGCUUCUUCAGAGUAAGACUCUUAGCCAACCGCCUGUUGACUACUCUUUACAUUGCAGAAGGGAAGAAAGUGAAAAGGCCGAUUGCAAUUGAAUAUGAUUCCUUUGCUGCGACAUCCAGUCUUGGUGGAUGAUCUCCCAACAAGUCAAGCUUCCUUUACCCGGGGCUAGAAAUCCUUCUCACGAAGGAAGUGGCUUUUCUUUCGAGUGCUAGCUUUCUACUGCGGCACCACCUACAUUUGGCGUUCAACGAGCACUCGGAUCUUGACCUGACAUCAGUGCAAUCUCGGAUGCUCCCGCGAGUCGAAGCUUUAGUGACGUCGCUUCGGGGAUUGGUGCGACAGAUUUAGGAACCACGAAUAGGAGGAAAAUAAUGAAGGAAAGAUGUAAGAUGGGGCGGUGGCGGAGAUGAAGGAUGGAUUUAGAUUUGUUAGUGUGAGUAUUAAUUGACAUUUUUUAGGAUUUAAUAUUUGGGCUUACAAAUUUGAAGGCGAUAGCUAGGGAAAUGAUCAAUUGGUCAACUUUUGGGAACGAAACAAUCUAUGAGUUCACCUGUCCCAAUAAUCUUUUGGACAUUUUUGCCCAUAUCAGAAUUUUCAUUCAACUCAAGACCCUUGGAACCGGAUGAGAAACCGCUGAAAAUCGGUAAAAUGACUCCGCUGGCGUGUUUUUGUGAGUUUAGUGACCUUUUGGGCCGCAAAAAAAGUUUGGUGACCAAAGGGUGCCAUUUUUAAUAGUUUAGUGAUCUUUUGGGCCAUUCACUCUUUAAUUUAUUGAAACAGUUGUCAAACCGAAUGGAAUAGGCAUUUCUAUCAGUUUGCCAGCUGGGAAAAAGUUGGGUUCCAUUUUAUCCGAAUUCCAUUUUAAAAAAGUUGGAUUAGCUGUUUUUUAGGGUGUUUGAUAGGGUGCGUUUUGAUGGGUUAUUUCACUGCUAUUUCACAGUUGUUGGAACUAAAUGUCGCUCUAUUAGAUGGUGACAGGUGUCGAGCCUGUGCAAUAAUAAAAAUAGAAUCUAAUUACCACUAAAAACAGUCAAUAAUUAAUCCUAAGUACUGGAGUAGGGAUUCUAGGUGUGCAAUGGGUUACUUGAUUCACCCUAUUCCCGAAAAGUUUGCUUAAUCCGAUAUAUCAGAAUUAAUUAAUUGACAAAAAUUACUAAAUAAUAGACAGUGGCAAGCAAGGUCGUCUCCUCAGGAAUUGGGGAUAUUUGUCUCUUUGAAAUUCCACUUGGUAAAAUGGGGGUUUUUCAGAAUAAAGUUACAAAUAAUUAAGCAAUUCAAAUAAAACGAAUAAUUAAUUAACACGAAUGUAGACAGGAAUUAAUUCAAGAAUAGAUAAGUUCCAACCAAGAAUACAACUACUCAGACACAGUCCAUUUAUCCGAUCAUUGAUGCAGGAGAGGUUCACUUAAUUUAUUAAUAGGUUAGUUAUAGUCGCCGAUGAACUCUAACGACCAAUUUUUUCUUAAUUUAUUGAUAAUCAAGGUACGACUAUUGAUUACCCCUAACUAGAAAAUACCCCUAUGCACGAUUAUAGGAAUUAAUUUUUCAAUUGCAUUAAUAUCUAGAAAAACUUAGCCCCAAUCAAUAACAUGCUACGAGGGUUAUUUAAAUUAGAUUGCACGCUCCCCUAGUGUGUAAACACGUCAGUUGCCACUAAUAUUAAUCAAUCAAACAAUUACGGAUUUAAUUGACUAACUUGGCAGGAGAUUAAUAAAUCACAUUGAACAUCGGACCCUUGACAUCCAAUUAAUAAAAUAAUCCCAUGAAAAUUCAAGCAGACAACGUGCAAAUAUUAAUAAAUUGAGAAACGCGUGAAAACGAAUUAGAUCUUACAGAUUUUCGGAACUGCACCGUCGAGUUAAUCCUUGACUAGAUGAAAGGCUUAAUCACGCUGCAUAAAUAAAUCUCUACGCAAAUUAAUUGAUUGCAAGGGCAUUGCAUCUUUUACUAGAAAGCAAGGAAUAAAAGAUAUUCUUCCCGUUGGAGAAUUUUGUCGAACACAAGGCACGCGCCUGACAAAAGGGAAAGAAAAAAAAGAGAACUAAAACUAAGGUUCCGUUUGAUAAAACUGAAUUCGAAUUCUGAAAUCUGAAUACUGAAACAAUUAAUUUGCUGAAUUUUAAGCACUGAAAAAAAUAUAUGAAUGUCUGAAUUUUAAUGCUAAACCUAUUUAUACGGUUUGAUAAAUAUUUAUAACCGAAUGCUUAAUAAGUUUAAUUUGACAAUUUUGCCCUUAUAUUCUUUCAUUCAAAAAAGAAAUAAAAUCUAUGAUUUAAUUAGUUUAAAAUUGUUAGGUAUGAAAAUGACAAUAUUUAUUUUUAAAUCAAAUUAAUAUAAAACAUGAAAUAUAUUAUAUGAGAAGUAUGGAGAAGAUGUAAAAGUCAUUAAAAAAAGAUAAAAGAGAAACUAAAAAUCGUUAGAUAGAGAAUAUUAUGUUAUUUAAUCAGAUAAGAAUUUUGAACAUAAUUAAGUAUCUGUUUGAUAACAUAAAAAAGUGCUGAAACUGAAUUCAUUCAGACAUUCAGAUGUUUUGGGUGUUUGAUAAAUAAAAAUUUUUCUGCUGAACUUAUUAAGUAGUGCUGAAUUUGUAUGUAUUUUUUUCAGCACAAGAAUCGUAACUGAAUGCUUAAUUUGAUAAGAAUCAAGAGAUUUACUUCAACUACUUUAUCUUAUCUAUCAAAUCUACCCUUGUUAGUUAAUUACACUCAAAAUU